UGACGUACUUUUGCUUUCUUUUUUUACUUAUUUCUUCGUUUCUUUAUUUUUACUUUACUUUUAAAUCUUUAUUUUAUGUAUUAUUUAUAUUUAAAAGUUUUGAAUAAGAGUUUUACAGAAAAGGAAAAACACAAUUUCAAAUAACACAAAUUUCUCGUUUUUUGUUCUUAAAAAAGAAGAAGCAUUGAUUGGGGAGUUAUGGUAAACUCAGUUUCAAUGGUUGCGAUGAGAGGCGGUGGCGGCGAGGAGAGGACGAAGGCUUUGCUGCCGACGGGGUGGUGUGGCUGGCUGCUUGGUCCUGGGUUCUCCUUUAAUUCUCUGUUUUCUUUUUUCAUUUUCUUUUUCUCUUAGAGUUAUUGAUGUUAAGUGAAUGGACAGAUGCCAAAAUAGGGACAGAAGAUGUGAACCCAAUUAUAUACAGCUGCUGCUAUAGCUGAUUACAUAAAGUAACAAAUUAAUUAAUGCUUGAGUGGAGGACAGGCUUGAGUGGAAGAAUUGAUUAAGGCUUGAGUGGAAGACAAACUUCAGUGGAGGAAAGUAUAGAUAAGGAAAGCAUGCCUCGUUUAACGGCUUUAUCUAAUAAAGAUUACUUGUUGGCACUUGGAGUUUCUUAGGAAUGCUGGUUUUGUUUCCUUGGUGGACUUGAAAGGUGGUGCCUUGGCUCGGACAUCUCCCAAGACAUACAACUGCUCAUUAGCUGAAUAUCUCGCUCUCUUUAAAGAGAUCGAAGCAAACACAAUUUGCAAUUUGUGUGAUUCAAGCAUGAAUAUCUGAUAUAGUAACUAUACCAUUUGUUGGUUUGAUAAGAAAAGUUUGGUUAGCGAGGAUGAAACCAUAAAGUUCCCAAAACACACAAAGAACACGGACAAUUGCUAAGUUUAUUCUUGAGUUCACACAUAUUUGCACAAAUGAGAUUAUUCCAAGCAUGAUUAUACCAUUUGUUGGUUUGAUGUGAAAAGUAUGGGCAACGAGGGGUAAAACCAUACAAACACACACGAAGAACGUGGACAAUACUAAAUUUAUCUUUACGUUAUUGAUCCGACCUAACUGUAAAAUAAAAAAGAUGAAAAUAUAUAAUGUUCAGUACUUAGAUCUAUGAGCACUUGCACAAAACAUCACUUUUGGUCUUUGGUAAAUUUUUAAAAUAAAUGAAUUUUUUACUUAUUUGUGAACUGAAAUGCCUCUAAAAAAAUAAUGAUAGUUCGAAGAAUUUGAUAGAAAUUAAAAAAUAUCCUCAAAUUACUUGGAAUUGAAGACCACAUAGGCAAAAACACGAAAUUGAAACCUCACUUUAAUGAUAAAAAUGGUAAACUACAAAGACAAAAAUGACGUCUUGCCUUAUAAAUAAUUGGAAUUUGCUGGUGAUAAUAGUCGAUAUCAUCUUUUGUCGGUCCGACCUAAAAAGAAGAAAAAGUUAAAAGCAUCUUGUACCAAUUUUUGCCAAUGUGGGCCCAAACAAUUUGAAGAAGUCCACCGGCAAUUUCUCAAAAGCUAUUGUGUGAGUGUGAAGCUAAACCAAUAUUAUUUUGCAUAUCCGACCCCACAUCCCCAUGUGAUGUGAGGCUACAGAGGUGUUUCCAAAACGAAAUAUGAUAUUUCAAAACGUAGCUAUGUAUAGAGUCAUUUGUAUUUGCUUUCACAAUAACAUUUGAUUUUAUAUUUAUACAUUCUGAUAUUUUAACAAAUAAAUUGACUAAAUUUGGCCAACAGGAUUUAGCCGAAUAGAAAAGUUCUUAUUUAUGGACUAGUAAUUUUAAAUUUAAAAUUUAGACUAUCGCAUGUAUUUAAAAAAAACUAAACAAUUGGCUUAAUUUGAUAUAUUUCCUUUUUUUCCUUUUUGCAUUUUAUGCUGGUUGCCGUUAUUAAGUUUUAUCCUUAUUUUUUGUUGAAAAGAAAAUUGAAAAAAAUAAUAAUAAUUCCUACAGCUAGCAACUUCUCCACCUACAAAAAAUAAUAUUUUUUGUUUUAUCCUCAUGUGAGGCUACAGAAAAUUUUUGAAAACGAAACUGGAUAUUUUAUCUCUAACGACAGCUUUCAUACUUCGUUUACCCUGUGUUUCCAAGUUGUGCUAGCUAUUUGCAAACCUUGGAAUAUUACUUCAUCCAAAUCCCUUGCAGAGAAAAGAAAGAUAUGGCUUUGAUCGGAGAGGCCCUCAUCUCUGCUACCAUCCAGACGUUGUGUGACAAAAUUGCUUCGCCUGAGUUCACCGACUUAUUUCGGCAGAAAAAGCUCGAUGAACAACUCCUCAACAAGCUGAAGACGACGCUGUUGACCUUGUCCGUAGUGCUUAAUGAUGCAGAGGAGAAGCAAAUUGAGGAACCUUUAGUGAGAGACUGGCUUGACAAUCUCAGACAUAAUGUCUUGGCUGCGGAGGACUUACUGGAUGAAAUCGACACUGAAGCUUUGCGAUGCAAACUGGAAGAAGGUGAAGGUCAAACCCACAAUUUAACCAAGAAGGUACGUGAUUUUUAUCAACGCAUGAAUGUUGAGAUGAAAGAUUUAUUAGAAAGAUUAGAACAAUUUGUACAAGAGAAAAGUGCUCUUGGUUUGAGAGAAGGUGCUGGGAGGAAGGUUUCACGAAGAACAACAACUUCCUUGGUUCAUGAACCUUGUGUCUAUGGUAGAGAUGAAGUCAAAGAAAAUCUGUUGCCAAUUUUGUUAUCUGAUGAUGCAAGUAAGGAUGAUGUGUCUGUCCUCACCAUUGUUGGAAUGGGUGGGAUUGGCAAGACAACCCUUGCCCGACUGCUUUAUAAUGACGAUGAGGUGAAAGAACAUUUUCCACUUCACGCUUGGGUUUGUGUUACGGAAGACUAUGAUUCUAAUAGGAUAACUAAAACUCUUCUAGAGUCAGUCACCUCAAAGUCUUCUAAUAUGACAGAUCUAAAUUUACUUCAAGUUGAACUAAAAGAACAACUCAAGGGAAAGAAAUUCUUAUUUGUUUUGGAUGACCUAUGGAAUGAGAAAUAUGGUGAUUGGAAACGCCUCCAAACUCCUUUUACUUCUGGGGCAAGGGGAAGUAAAGUCAUUGUAACAACACGGAGCCAACAUGUAGUAUCUGUCCUGCAAAGUGUUCAUGUUCAUCACUUGGAACCCUUGUCGCACGAAGAUUGCUGGUUCUUACUUGCAAAACAUGCAUUUGGAAAUGAAAAUUGCAGUGAUCCAAACUUGGAAGAAAUUGGCAAGAAAAUUGCACACAAGUUCAAUGGGUUGCCUUUAGCUGCAGAAACACUUGGGGGUUUGUUACGUUGCAAUAUAGAUUCAGAGGAAUGGAAUACAAUACUAAAUAGCAGUAUUUGGGAGCUACCCUAUGAUAAAUGUGACAUUCUUCCGGCUCUUGGGUUGAGUUACCAUUAUCUCUCCUCCCAGUUAAAACGAUGCUUUGUUUAUUGUUCAAUUUUUCCAAAGGAUUAUGAGUUUAAAAAGGAAGAUAUAGUUCAAUUUUGGAUGGCAGAAGGUUUAAUUCCAAAAGCUGAGAAUGGAAAGAGCAUAGAAGCGGUAGCUAGAAAAUACUUUGAUGAGCUGUUGGCACGAUCGCUAUUUCAAAAGUCAAGCAAAUCCGGUUUCACAAUGCAUGAUCUCAUUAAUGACUUGGCCAUGUUCAUGUGUAAGGCAUUUUGCCUUAGGUUGGAAGGGGGGGAAUCACAUGUCGUAGAAAAAGUUCGGCAUUUUUCAUAUGCUAUGGAAAGAUUUGAUGCAGCUCCAAAAUUUGAGCCAUUACAUAGGGCUAAGUUUAUGCGGACCUUUCUACCCAUAUCAUUAAAUUUUGUUUCCACUUCUUAUGUAACUAAAAAGGUUCUACAAGAUUUGUUGCCGUCACUAAGAUGUUUACGGGUGUUAUCAUUGUCACAUUAUCAAAAUGUUACUGUGUUACCUGAUUCUAUUGCAAACCUCAUUCACUUGCGCUACUUGGAUCUUUCCGGUACCGCAAUUGAAAGGUUACCUGGGGUACUUUGCAAUCUCUACAACUUGCAGACAUUACUAUUGUCAAAAUGUUUCUCACUCCUUGAAUUGCCUGCAGACAUUAGAAAAUUGACUAAUUUACAGAAAUUGACAUUGCUCGGUUGUAGUUCUCUUAAUAAAUUGCCUGCAGGCAUGAAGGAGUUGACUAAUUUGCAUCAUCUUGAUGUCAGUGGAACUAAAAUUGAAGAGAUGCCGGUGCAAAUGGGUAGAUUGAAAAGUUUGAGAACAUUGACUGCAUUUGUUGUGGGCAAAUCUACUGGGUUAGGCAUAAGAGAACUGAGGCAGUUCCCGCAACUUCGAGGAAAACUAUCAAUUUUGAAGCUACAAAAUGUAGUUGAUGCGAGGGAUGCACUGCACGCCAAUAUGAAGCACAAGAAAGAUCUCAAGGAGUUAAAGUUUUCAUGGGGUGCGGAGGAUGCUGAUGAUUCCCAAAAGGAGAAAGAUGUACUCGACAAGCUCCAGCCUUGCGUGAAUUUGGAGAAAUUAUCCAUCAAAUUCUAUGGUGGAACCAAUUUUCCGAAUUGGUUAGGAGACUCGUCUUUUUCUAACAUACAAGUCAUGCAUCUCAGUGACUGUAGUUAUUGUUGGUUGCUCCCACCAGUUGGACGGCUACCGGCACUCAAAGAGCUCUGUAUAAAAAGAAUGAAGUCUUUGAGGACGAUUGGCGUUGAAUUCUAUGGCAGAAAUGGAGCUUAUCUGACUCAGCCAUUUCGAUCUCUGGAGAAGCUAGAGUUUAGGGGGAUGCCGGAGUGGGAGGAAUGGGUACCAAGUGGAAGUGCAAGUGGAGGUGAAUAUGGUCCAGACUUUCCUCGUCUCCAAAAGCUGAUUCUAAACGAGUGUCCGAAGCUAAGAGGAAGUUUGCCUUGUGAGUUGCCUUGCUUGAAGAAGCUUACGGUGUAUGGGUGUAAGGUUUUACAUGAUGGAAGGACCGCUACCGCAACUACCAAUAGUGUUAACUAUAAAUCUCUGGAAGAAUUGGAUAUAAGUGGUGGAUGCCAAACUCUGUUAUCAUUAUUAGAGACAAAGCUCCUGUCCCGACUUCGGAUUCGAAAUGUUGUUGACAUACAGUGCUUGCCCAACUGCAAUCGUCUUCAACGUUUGACUCUUUGCCUAACGCUGUCAUCGUUUCCCAAAGAUGGCCUACCCACUACAUUGACAUCACUUUAUAUAAACAAUUGUAGGAAAUUAGAAUUCCUACCUCAUGAGAUGUUGGCCAAAUUAACAUCGCUUGACUAUUUGUGCGUACAAAAUAGCUGUGAUUCAAUGAGGUCCUUCCCGUUGGGCAUUUUUCCCAAAUUGACGACGCUUCAAAUUCGUGGUUGUGAGAAUCUGGAAUCUUUUUCCUUGAUUGAAGAAGAAGGAGCUGUUGACAAUCUCAGCCAUCUCAAUUCCUUGCGUGUCUAUAACUGUCCAAAAAUGGUGUGUUUUCACGAGGGAGAAUUGCCCACUCCCAACCUGAGUCACUUUGUAGUCAUUGGUUGCGAGAAUUUGAAGUCAUUGCCCGAACGCCUUCACACCCUCACUGCCCUUCGAUCUUUGAAUAUAUGGAAUCUUCCGAAUCUGGAGUCAUUUGCAGAAGAUGGGGGUUUGCCUCCCAACCUCCGAUCUUUUAUCAUUAGGAAUUGUAAGAGACUGAGGGCACUUGACUCAGUGGGUUUGCAAGCACUUGUCUACCUUCAGAUCGAUGGAAGUGACCAUGUCUUGGAGACGUUGCUGCUCCCUACCACUCUUCACACUCUCUGCAUCUCUGAUCUAUCAACUCUGAAAUCUUUGGACGGAAAGGGUCUUGGACACCUCACUUCUCUUCAAACUCUAAAAAUUUACAGCUGUCCAAGUCUUCAAUGCCUGCCAGAAGAGGGUUUGCCGCCAUCUCUUUCUCAUCUGAGUAUCCGCUGUUGUCCUACCCUGGAGGAAAGGUAUAAGAAUAAAACGGGACAAGAUUGGGCAAAGAUAUCUCACAUUCCUUGCAUCGAGAUAGGGGAAGAAGUGAUCAUAUAAUAUGAGCUAUUCCAUAUUUCACGCUCAACCCUCAACUCUCAAAUCAAAGUCAGGUGAGGUAUGUGCCUUCUCUUACUUUAAAAAACUGCUUCUCUUCUUCUAAUUGAAUACAAAAACCAAAACACAUAUUCUCUUUCUCUUCCAAAAACCCAAAUACAUGUUGGACAUUGCCCAAAUUUGUCUCCAAAUUCCUAGUUUAAAUCAAAUUUAAUGCCUAUGGAUAGUUUGUUAAUAGGUUCAUGCCAUGAAUUAAUCUUUGGACUUUCCCAGGUACUGCAGGUUUGUUAUUAAUGUUGUGGCCUGAUAUUCGUCGUAUCAAUACGUUGAGGAGAGAGAUCGAUCAGCAAUUACAAAAUUGUUAGUGAAUUUAGCUUGUUUAUCAUCUCUCUCCUUUUGUUUGUUAAGUUUUGUUGUUCUAGGUUAAACCCUUGUCCCCGCAUUUCACAGCAACUCUGUGUUUUUCCACUCUGUUUAGAUUUCACUAGCAGGAGAGCCCGCGCGAUGCUGCGGGUUUUGAAAUUGUGUAGACAAAAUUAGAUUGUUUAUAUAUACAAUGAGAUUUAAUUUAUAACAUUAUGUUUAACUACAGGAGUGUAAGUUGCAAAAAAGUAUAUAAUAACAUAUUUUACAGGCUACUUGUUAUGGUAAAAUACUAUACUUGUUUGUAUAUACAUUGAGAUGUUUAUAGUAGGAAGUAGGCAUCAAAAUAGCAAAAGUUGGAUAGUUUUGUACAGAAUGUUAUUUAAUUGGGCAAGCUUUGUUUUGCACUUGCUUCAUGAUUUUUCUUCUCUUUCAUGGAAGUCUUGAUCCUGUUAUAAAAAAAAGUGAGAAAAUAGUAAAUGUUAAUAUUGAUGAAUGGGGGAAAUUGAGUUAGGACAAUAAUCAUAAACAUUUAAUUAUGUAUAAACAGGAAUAAUAUAAUUUAUUGAUUUAAUAAGAAAGUUAUAAAUAGUUUUUCAAUCUAGGAAAUACAAAGUUACAAAAUUAAGAGAACUAAUGAGCAAGUUGUAGAUGGUUUUCUAAUUGAAGUAAUACAAAGUAAACAUAUUUUAAAUUUUGUGUUUGUCUAAAAGAAAAGUUGAAGAGAGGCAAAAUAAUUAUGGUUGAAUAUAUGGAGAAAAGGAUGUCAAUAUAAUGUUUAGGUUUUUAUGUAUUAGGAAUAUAUGACUUUUUUGCUGUUAUUUAGAGCAAAAAUUAUUUAAGGGCUUGACAUUUCUGUUAAAAAACGGGUAGAAUCUACCCUGAAAAAUGGACAUUUUGCCAAAAAAUUCACCUGUAAACUAAUUAGUACUGAAUACCGAUUGGCGAAGGCAAGACAAUCAUAGUUGUGGAGUACAUAGUUAGAAAGAUGAAUGUGCAAACGUACAUCUAACCCCAUGAUAUACAUCUAACCCCAUGUGAACAUGAUUUAUUCUACAACAAUGAUUAUCAAUUUUCUAAUUGCUCAUUUUCCUAACCCUAAUCAUCACAAACCCAAAAUUAACUCUAAAAAUUUCAAAUAAGCAUGGUUCUAAACCAAUUUCUAACUUACUUAGCGAAGUCUUUUCUAUAAAUGAUAGUUGUUGAAGAAAAAGGGAAACGAAAAUAAGCUUUUAGUGUAUAAGUACAUUGAAGCAAAACAUGAAGAGAAUCCAAUAUAUAACUUCAAUAUAUAACUUUAAUUUUCUAUAAGUGUUGAUCUAAAUUUACAUCCCUUACCACUCUUCAAUUUAAAAAUAGUUUUAGCUACAACAAACAACUUCAGAGAGAAGAUUUGGCCCUGUUUUAUAAGGCAAAACCUCUCUAACCACAUGACAUACAUCUAACUCCAUGUGAACGUGAUUUAUUCUACAACAAUGAUUAUCAAUUUCCUAAUUGCUCAUUUCCCUAACCCUAAUCAUCACAAACCCAAAAUUAAUUCUAAAAAUUUCAAAUAAGCAUGGUACUAAACCAAUUUCCAACUUACUUAGUGAAGUCUUUUAUAUAAAUGAUAGUUGUUAAGGAAAAACGGAAACAAAAAUAAGCUUUUAGUGUAUAUGCACAGCACAGAAAUUGCAUGUAGCUUUCCGAUUUUUAUCCCAACUUCGUUUCUGUGGAAUCACAAAACUACAUACGCACAGCACAGGGAAGGGAAAAAAAAAAAAAGGCACAUUUAAGAGACACCUAUCUUCUCAUUCUACAUCACAUCCUCUUUUCCUAGCUUUCCAACCUUGCAACCAAAGCAAACAUCUUUCCUGAUAAAGGGUAGGAAAGAAAGUGGUUGUGUGAAUUGGGAUGAGAGAGACAGAGACAGAGACAGAGACAGAGAGACAAAGAGAGAGAGAGAAAAGAGAAAUCAAAGUAUAUAUAUAAAUAGUAAGUAUAGUUUAUAUCAUGCAAAGUUUUGAUGGUUUCGUUCAAAAAAAAAACAGGGAAAAAGUUUUGAUGGGUAAUUCUAGUAAUAAUGUUCUUAUAAUUCUAUAUAUAUAUAGAUAUCAAACUGUACUACCAUAUUCUUCCUAUAUAUACACUUGGUCGUCAACUACCUCUCUCUCUCUCUCUCUCUCUCUCUCUCUCUCUCUCUCUCUCUCUCUCUCUCUGUGACCUGCAUUUAUACAGAACCAAUUAUUCCAUCUUCACUAUACAUUUUCCUCAUCUUCCCAUUCAUAUUUUAUGGCUCUCUUGUUCUUCCUCCUAAUUCUUUUGGUCCCUGCAAGCAAUACUAAUUGGCCACCAUCACCUGGCUACUGGCCAAGUUCUAAAUUCAGGUCUAUGAGCUUUUAUAAAGGAUUUAAAACUCUCUGGGGUCCUCAGCAUCAAAGCUUAGACCAACAUGCAUUAACAAUCUGGGUUUAAUGAGGCCAGAAAAUUUUAAGAACUUAUCUACCAAGCAUACCAAACUGACAAAGCAAACCAUAUCUGUAUUUUAUCAUCAAUUUCAUCAAUUUUAUCACCAACAACAGAUAAAAAAAGGGAAUUUUUUCAAAAAAAAAAAAAAGGAAAAAACAUAAAUAAAAAAAGGGGCACAUUUAAGAGAGACCUAUCUUCUCAUUCUACAUCACAUCCUCUUUUCAUUUUGAAGCGGUCAUGUGUUGUGAGUUUCUUGUUUUAUAAAUUUUCAAAACUGUUGUUUAGAACUGCAAAAUUCUUCAUCAUAUAUCUUGCCUUCUAAUAUACAUUCUGUAUCAGGAAACUGGAAUGAGGCUUGCUCUUUGAGGAAGAGAAAUAAAAGAAAAAGUUGUGGCAAAGGUUCACGGAUGUAGUUGGAUUGUAGUGGGACAGAGAACAAAUUUAUUUGUUGCAGGGGAAAAGUCUCAUCCAAAUGCUAUGAAAUCAUGGCAACUUUAAAGUAUUGGACAGCAAUAAUGAAAGAAGAGGGCUAUGUUGGUGACACAGAUUCUUGCUUGCAUGAAUAAGAGGGAGAAAAGCCCCUAUGGUAUUGACUGUUGCCGCCAAGUGCAUAUUGUUAUUACUAUGCGUACUACAUCCCAAGGCCUCUCUCAGCAGGAUUACAAAGUAAACCAGAAUUACUAUCCCAGCAGUAUUCUGCAACUUUGCUCUGCACUUCCUUAUGUAAUCUCUCUCUCUCUCUCUCUCUCUCUCUCUCUCUAUAAAUAUAUAUAUACACACACACACACACACACACAUAUAUCUAGGCAUGCAUAUUUAUGAGUUCCCCAUUGAGGAGGGAUUCCCUUUUGAGGAUUUUAUAAUUAGAAUUAGACUGCCUUCUUAACCAAUAGUUGGGUUUGUGUGGUAAGGUAUGCUGGGUUUGUUGAUGUGGAUAUUUAUGCCUGGAGGUGCUUUGUUUUACUACUUCGUUGAAGUAGAAACAGACACUGACAAAGAAGCCCUUCAUUCUUUGUCUCAAUAGUGAUUGGUUUCUUUGAUCCUAUUCAUCAUAUCUGGUGGUGAGGUUGCCUAAUCAGCCAAAUGUUGGGUUCAACUACCUCUCUCUCUCUCUCUCUCUCUCUCUCUCUCUCUGUCUCUCUCUCUCUUUCUCUCUCUCUCUGUGACCUGCAUUUAUACAGAGCCAAUUAUUCCAUCUUCACUUUACAUUUUCCUCAUCUUCCCAUUCAUAUUUUAUGGCUUUCUUGCUCUUCCUCCUAAUUCUUUUGGUCCCUGCAAGCAAUACUAAUUGGCCACCAUCACCUGGCUACUGGCCAAGUUCUAAAUUGGCCAGAAAAUUUUAAGAACUUAUCUACCAAGCAUACCAAACUGACAAAGCAAACCAUAUCUGUAUUUUAUCAUCAAUUUUAUCGCCAACAACAGAUAAAAAAAGGGAAUUUUUUCAAAAAAAAAAAAAAAAAAGGAAAAAACAUGUUUAGUCUUUGCUUUCCAAUGUUUUAUCCAAAAACCUGAAAAUCAAAGUAACUAAAUAAAUGAACCCAAUCAUUCCUAAUUUCUAUUUUGUCAAAACCUAAUUAAGCUUCACUUCUUUUUUGCUUGUAUUUUAUCAUCAAUUUCAUCUAUUUUAUCACCAAUAGCAGAUAAAAAAAGGAAAUUUUUUCAAUUAAAAAAAAAAAAAACAUACUCAGUCUUUGCUUUCCAAUGUUUUAUCUAAAAACCUAAAAUCAAAGGAAUCAAAUAAAUAGGGUUUAGGGCUCAAGAACCUGAAAUCAAAAGAACCAAAAAAAUGAACACAACUCUACAUAGCACGAAAAAUCUCCCAGCCAACAAUCAAAUUCAUGAAAUAAAUACCAAAAGAUCUGUUAAAAAAUUGAUGAGAUGCAUACCUGAAAACAAAGGAUGCAACAAAGAUGGAAGCCUGAGUCGAAGCAAGAACGAUGGAAGCCUGAGUCGAAGCAAGAAAGAUGGAAGCCUGAGUCGAAGGUUGUAGAAAAGACGAAAUCUCCCGAUCCCAAAUCUGUGACACGAAGACUGAAAGCACGGCUGGAUUUGCAGCUCACCUCCCAAACAAAAAUCGACGGCCUUCAACGCAUCUCCAGCAACGAACACAACUCUUCCAUGGCUGCCCCCCAACCAGCUGGUUGGAAACGAACGGGAGAAAAUGGUUUCUCUCAGCGGACGAAACCAUCUCAACGAAGGGGGAGGGGCAAAAACGGGAACAAAAGAAACUGUUUAGUCAAGGGCAGUUUCGUCAUUUAACUGUGCUGCAGGAAAAAAAACGAAAACAGCAGAAAAAUGAGGGGCAUUUCCGUCAUUACACUGUGCUUAGCUACAGUGUUUAGUUGCAUUGGGUUUUAGUAUAUAUAUAAUUUAUGUUGUGAUUCGACUGCUGCUGUAUUUUAGAUUUAUAGGAACAGACCAAACAUGUUGAUUCUAUCACCAAAAUUAUAAAGUAUACUUCCAUUACAAUUAAUUUGUUGAUUCUAAUUUGGACUUGUAGGAACAGACCAAACAUGUUCAUACGUGGCAUUGCUCAAGUCAUCAUCAUUCGGGACAGAGAAUAAGCCUUCAAAUGUCUGCUGAGUCAAUGAACCUUUCUAGAUAUCUCAAGUGUAAUGGAAAUUGAUGAGUUACAAAGGAUUUGUAAACAUUUUCUACUGGAGGCUAGAAAUGCUUCAAAUAAAUGACUCUGUUGCAAUUAUUUUGUAGGAUCAAAGACUCUGCAAAGAGGUAAGAAAGUCAUCAUCAAGUAACUUCGCUCUUCAUACUUUUUAUUAGGGGUGGGCAUUGGAACCGCAAAACCGCAAAACCGAACCAACCCAAUCCGAAAAAAACCGAAAAAAACCGUGUUGACCGAAAAAGUCAAAAACCGAGACAAAUCCAAACCGAACCGGUUCAGACCGGUUCCGGUUCCGAUUUUCCACCUUAAGGAACCGGUCCAAUCCGAACCGGUCCAAUAUAAUUAAUUUUUAUAUUAUAUUUAUAUUUAUAUUUAAAAUAUCAAAUUUUGUAGGCCCAAACCCAACUAUUUCAUUAUACCAACAAAAAGCCCAAAUCUCCCAAGUCCAUUGCCCAAGUCCAACAAGCCAUAUUUUAAUAUCCUAAUCACAUCAAAUCUCACUUCACUCUCUCUCUCUGACGCACUCUCUCUUUUCCUCUCAGAUUUUUUUUACUCUCUUUUUCUUUCUUUCUUCUCUCUUCCGCCUCUUUUCCUCUAGGUUCUUUAACUUCUUUUUACUUCUUUCUUUCUUCACUCUUCUGCCUCUUUUCCUCAGUUUUUUCUUCUUCUUUCUCUCUUAUUCUUUCUCCUCUCAAUUCGUCUCCAUUUUUUUUCCCUCUCUUUCUCUGAUUUUCUGUUACUCUGAUUUUUUUCUUCUUGGUUUUAUGUUUCUCUCUCUCCCUCUAUAUCUCUUUCUUUGCAACUCUGUUUUUCAAUUUCUCCUUUUUUUUCUCUCUUCAUUUUUUGUUUCUCUGUACAUAUAUGUGUUCAUCUUGUAGAUCUGGGUGAAAUUCUUGUAGAUCUAGGUGAAGUUCUUGGAGAUCUGCGUUAAGUUCUUGUAGAUCUAGGUAAAGAGCCAAUUCAAAGCAGGUCAGCGUCUCUUAUCUCCCCAAUCCCUUGUGAAGAUAUGUAUUUUUUUUGUUGUCAACAAUCCAUUUUGGUGUUUUUAUAUGGUAUUGAUAUUUUCUAUGAUUUUGGGCUGAUUUGAGGUCUGAUUCUUUUUUUUUCUUUCAAUUUUUUCCUGUUGUGUUUUGAUAGACAUGUUCUCUAUUCCUGAUAUCAUUCCUCAGUGGCAAAAUCUUUGAGCGUUGUUGUAAAUUUUAGACGGGAAAGAAGCUCAUUCAUAAUUCAAAAAAAGAAAAUAAAGUUACAACAACUGACAAUUUGUUGCUCUUUGAAAUAGGUACUGAAGUAGCAUGGAUAAAAAGAAAGACUGAAGAUGUUGCAGAAGAUUGAAUAUGUUCUAUUUCUGUAAUUUGUUUGUAAUUAAAUUUGUUUAUUUUGUUUUGUUUUUAGGUUGUAAGUUUUAUUUUAAUGUUUGAUAUUUGUUGUUUUGUCAAAAAAUUGUAUUAAUGCUUGAUGGAUUCAUUCAAUUUGCAGUGCGUGGAUGUGAAUUGGGCCAAUCGGUAAUAAUUAGGCCCAAAAGGUUUUAAAUAUCAAUUGGGCUGAAACUUACAAAAAAAUUUAAGAACAAAAAAAAAAUCAAUUAAGCUGUGUGUCGGCCCAAACCGUAAAAACCGGAACCGAACCGGAUUCAAAUGGGUUCGGGUUGGUCCGGUUUUCUCAAGCAUUUUAGUAAAAAUCCGAACCGGACCGGACCGGUGAACAGUACCGGUUCCGGUUUUAAAUUGAUGCAAAAACCGGUCCAAACCGGACCGUGCCCACCCCUAUUUUUUAUUUUUAUUUUUAAAUAUCAGUAAUAACUGGGAAAGCUUGCAUCUCCUUAAAUUGCUCAUUCUUACAUCUUUUAUAGUUUGUUGAUCUUGGGCAAGUGGAGAGAGAGGCGUCAAGUGAUACGCAACAACCAUUUUCUGUGAGCUGAUUUGAUAAAGAGAAAUGGUAUGCUUUCUUGUCUUAAGCGGUGUGUUCUGCAAUUAUUUGAAACAAAGGAUGCCGCACUUCAAGUUCGAGAAAAUCAGGUAUUUUAGUAUUUUAUUCUUGAGAAAUUUGAUUUAUGUAGAAACUUGAACAUGUAAAUGAGAGAAAAAAAAAUAAAUAUAUAUAUAUAUUAUAUAUUGUAUAUGCUGUUAAUGAGUUAAUAUGGUGCUUGCUCCUAGUUGGAAAUUUAUGUAGUCAUCUACCUAUGAUCAAAUAAAGAUGAAAAAUAAAAUAAAAUUGAGAGCAUCUUCCUCUCCCCUGCUUUGCUCAUCCCUUGUUCUUCCACUUCAGCCCCACUAUUACACCAUUUUUUUCAGCCACAAUUAUAAUAGCUCCAUGAGCAUUAAGUCCCUUUCAAAUUCUGCUGACAUUCAAAAUUGGAAUCUGCUGGUGAUAUAUGAUAGCGUUAACAUAUUGUACCAUUUUGGCCAGUGUACGCAAUAUUAUUGCAUCCAACUUUGCAUAUUAACAUCAGUGGCCACAGUUACACGAUUUGAGUGCACAGAAAGGUUUCAAAAGUUGUCCCACAGAGAACAGUCGUUCAAAGUGAGAGAGUUUUGAAAGCUUAAUUACAAGUUCAUGUUGUUUACAACCUCAAAAAGCUUUCAUACUUGCUUACAAACCUGUAUUUCCAAGUUCUGCAAACCUUGGAAUAUCACUUCAUCCAAAUCCCCUUCCAAAGCAGGAAAAAAUGGCAGCAGCUUUGAUUGGAGAGGCUCUCAUCUCUGCUUCUAUCGAGGUGUUGUGUGACAGAGUUACUUCAGCCGAGUUCAUAGACUUAUUUCAGCAGAAGAAACUUGAUGAAACACUCCUCAUGAACCUGAAGACGACACUGUUGAUUUUGUUUGCGGCGCUCAAUGAUGCAGAGGAGAAGCAAAUUGUGAACCCUGCUGUGAUAGAGUGGCUUAACAGCUCAAGCAUGCUGUCUUUGAUGCAGAGGACUUACUUGAUGAGAUUGACACUGAAGCUUUGCGAUGCAAGCUGGAAGGUGAGGAUCAAACCCACAAUAAUUAACCAACAAGGAUCUUUUUGAUUGUUUGAAAGGAGGGUCUUUGAUGAUUUGAAAGGAGAGGGUUGCUUCAUUUCUGUUGGAUGCUUAAUUAAAUCUUAUCUGGACUUGAACAAGGAUUAGGUUAGCUGUAUAAUUCGUGGUAAACACCUUUUUCUAAGGUUCAUUUAGACUCCUAUUACGAUUAAUUUGUUGUUUCUAAUUUGGACUUGUAGGAACAGACCAAAUAUGUUCACACGUGGCAUCGUUCAAGUCAUCAUCAUUUCAGACAAAAUCAGCCUUCAAGUGUCUGCUGACUCAAUGAACCUUUCUAGAUAUAUCAAGUGCAAUGGAAAUUCAAGAGUUACAUAGAGAUUUGUAAACAUUUUGAAGAUUGCAACACCUGCAAGUGAGAUAGGUGGUGACGAAAUCAGAGCUGAUCUUGAAGCCUCUGAUGCCCCUGUCGUUGCAAGUUGCACCUGAGAACAUGGUUUUUUUUUGGGUAAAAAACCAGCAACAUGUUCGGGGCUGGCAAUUCAAUCCCUGAUGAACUUGAGAAGCAAAGCUCCAGUAAGGAAAUUGGUCGAGGUCACGACAGGGAUAAUUGAUGGUGAAAUGGAUGCUAUUUCUUAUUGCAGCCUGUUCUCAAAGUUCUUGUUGGCAAAAGCAAGAGAUGGAGUAUUUUGAUUGGGAGGAGAGAUAAUGACAUGUGUUGACAAUUCUAGAACAGCCCAUCUGAGUUCUUUUGUCAGGCUGCAUCAUUUAAUCCCAGCAAAAAUCCAGUUUUUGCUAAACAAUCAAAUUGUACACAUUUUUUCUUUUCGAGGAAUUUAACAUUACACAUUUUUUCAUUUUUUCAUCAAACAGUUUUCUAAUGCAUUUGUUGUCCCAAGUUACAAUGAGGAAUUUGGAUUGAGUUUCUUGUGUUAAUAACAUUAUACUUUCAUGGAAUGGUUUAUCUUCUUUUUCUGGACAAAAAUAUUUAGAUUAAUUUCUUGGAAUAAUUUUUUAAUAAUUUUUUAAUUGCAGUAGCGAAAAAAGGAAAAUUGUAUUUUUCAAAACCAAUCUUAAGUCCAGUUUCCUCUUCUUGGUCGUCACACUUGGAAAUUGCUAACCAUAUAUAACUUGGGGUAACAAUCUUAGUCCGAAUGUGUACGAUCUUAGUCCGAUCAAUGGCUACGCGUAUUGGCUCGGCCUUGGGGUCUACCAUUCCAGUGUACAAGCUUCCUGGGUCUUGGGGCAAUUCCUUCAAAUUGUACACAUGUUUUCUUUGAGAAGCAAGGCUCUAGUAAGGAAAUUGGUUAUGUAACAAAUUUUGGUCCCUUUGGAUGGAAUGAUUUACAAUGAGGAAUUUUAUUAUUAUUAUUUUGUUUUUGUUGUUAGUGUAAUGAAAAUGAUCUAGGUUCAUACACUGGGUAUAGCUCUAAUUUGGCCAAUUUCAUUAUUUUAGUUUCUUCAUAUUUUCAAUUAUUAUAAUUUGGUGCGUUGUUUUUUAAAAACAUUCAUGAGAAUCUCCAUUUUUUAGGUGUUUAAGUUAUUCAUCCACAACGGUUUUAUAAUACCGUCAUCUUUUCAAACACAACGAUGAUUUUUUAAUCUAUCGUCGUUGUUUUCUGAUCGUCUUUUUCACUUUUUGUAGUAGUGUCAAUAAGUAAGAUGAAAUAAUACAUUCACAAUCUGUUUAAAUUUUAAAUUAAAAAAAACACAAGAAAAUUUUAAAUAAGUAAGUAAUUUUAAAUAUAUAUUUCCAUUGUUUUGGUUUUCUUUUCAUAUUAGUUUUCUACUAGCUGCUAAUUUCAUUUAAAUUGUUUUUCUUACUUCAUUUAACUUUUAAGCAUGCAGAUGCAAUCAUGACUUCUUCUUUUUUUCAAUAGACUGAUUCUCUUCCCACAUAUAUAAUGCUCUCUAAGUAUUCGUAAUAUGAGUAGGAAUUUAUUUUCAUUUCACAAGAAUUGUCCAUCAAAUUCUGAUAGGUUUGUCGAUAGCACAAGCAUGCACAUAUAGACACUACAAGAACUUUGUUUCUUCAUUUUGUUUCCUAAAGAUUUGUUGGCUUCGUGCAGAUGAAUAACAAGUCUCUCUGUCCUCUAUUUCUUCUUUUUCUUUUUUAACAAUUCAUAUUCUACUUUCUGUUUUCACCCAGUAAAAAUUGAUUUUAGACAUGGGCUUCUAAAUUAUGUGCGGAUAAUGGUUGCAUUUAUAGAAUAUCCAUGGGCUUCUAGUCACCGUGGUUGUUGAUUCAGCAUGUCAUAUUACUCUUGGACUAGCUGUUGACACUACUACAUUUUACACUUUGCGCGACGAAGAACAAAACGUCGCGCAAAGUCGCAUUUAGUCGCCCCAAUUUCAGCGCGACAAAAACGUCGUCGCGCAUAUUCCGUCGCGCGAAGAUCGUGAAGAAAGCCUUUGCACGACGAGGUACAACCCUUCGUCGCGCAAAAGUGUGCGACGGGUAAACCAUCGUUGCACCAACGGUGUGGAGACGAAACAACCCUUCGUCGCAAAAAUAUUUGCGCGACGAUAAAUUAUGCGGCGCACGUAUAUUUGCGAGACGACGGGAAUUGCGCGACAAAACAUUAUUCGUCGCGCAAAAUAUGUAUGGGAGACGUAUAUGUUCGUCGCAGAACAAUUCGCGCGAUGAGAAAGUUUUCGUCGCACAUAUAAUUGCGCGACGAAAAAUUAUGUCGUCGGCCAAAUAUUUUGCGCGACGAAACAUUUCGUCGCGCAAAACGUGUUAUGUGUUCGUCGCGCAUGAAUUAAAAGUGAUAAAAAAAUAUUUGAUUUUUUUUUGUUACAUGUUGGUUUGCGCGACGAAAGAUUUUCCGUCGCGCAAAAAUAAUAUUACAAUUUUUUUUUUAUUUAUAUUUUUUAUUUGAUAUAAAAUUGGUUUCUUUUUAUUGAUUAAACAAUGAAAUUGCAAUAAAAAUAAAUUAGAAUAAAAUUUUGUUAUAAAAUAAAAUAAAAUAAAUGUAUUACAAAUAAAAUAAAUACACUAAUCAAAUAAUGAAUCAAAAUCAACCGAGUCGUCGCCAGUAUGCGGCUCGGAGGGCGGGGCGUUCACCGGGGCAGUGGUCUGGUGGGGAUGCCCGGGAUGGACGGGCUCAGAGGUCGGCGCAUCAAAAUGCGGGACUGGAAUGCCGGACUGUGCGAGGGACUGCAGAAUGACCGACAUCUGGCUCUGAAGAGUGGCCACCUGUGCUGUCAAAGCAGUGACCUGACUGUUUGACUGCGCCGAUGAACGAGGUCGAGGUUCCCUCCGCCGGGCAUUCCCCAUCCCUCGACAAUAUGUCCCCGGCCUCCUCCCGAGAGUCUGAUCCAACGUCUCCGUCAAUAUCUGAAAUCCAGCAUCCUGUGGAGGAGCCACAGACUCGAUCGGAGUCUCGGGAGGAAGCUGGGAGGCGGACUCCUGAAGAACAAGCUGGCUCCUCUCCACCAUCGUCGUCUGUUGAACAUAACAUAAAAUAUAAAUUAAAACAUGCAUAUAAAUUGAAUGCGUAACAUAAGAAUUAAAAUUAAAUAAUACUUACAUGAAGGGACUCGGCCAACUCAUUCCCGGGUCGAACAUAAACGUCACCAAAGACGUCGAUCUCUGGGAACUUGGACCCCUCCUAAAUUGAACAAGAGAAGAAAAAUAUUAGUAUGAAAAAAAUAAAUUAAUAAAAAUGACAUUAAAAAUGAAAUAAAAAUUUUGUGAUUAUUACCCGACGCCGUGCAUCCAUCCUAUAAGAAAAGGGUCUGGAGCCGGAAUGGUGGAGAAGGGUCUUCUUCUUCCUAUUACCCUUAUUCACUUGGGCUUUAUUCUGUUAUACAAAAAAUGAAACGUAUUAGUUAAAAUAUAAAAAAUUAAAUAAUAAUGAAAUAAAAAAAUAAAAUAAACAUUAAUAAGUAAUAAGUAAUAAUUAAACAAAUAUAAUUAAAAAAAUACCGCAAAUUCGGGCGCUUGAAAAUGAGCGCAGAGCCACUCCCAACUAUCCUCCCGCCCCUCAAGCUCCUUCGGGCAACCCUCCUGAAGAGCGACUUGCGGAUCAUCAUAGGCCUGAAAAUGGUGGUGCAAGUCGCUCUUCCACUGCUUGUACCUCUCAGCGAAGAGUCGGUUGACGUACGUCAACGACUCUUCGUCGAGAUCCUCCAAGUUAUAGUUCGUCUGCAAUCAAUUAAUUAGAUACGUUAAGUAAUAGAAAUAUACACAAUUUUAAAGAAAAAUAAUGAAAAUGUAAGGUACAUACCGACAACUGGCCGUGAAUCUCCGCCUGGAUCUCGUCAGGCAUGACCCUCCAAGACUUCCAUUGCAUCGGGCAAUGGGUCCGCACGACGUGGCCAAUGUCGUGGGCCAAGGAGCUAUGCAACUUCGCCGUCGGUGCAGCACGAUGGCGCUCGUCGUAUCCGAUGCUGAUACGACUGUUGGUCACCCGGGUGACCUUCGCCGUCUUCAGCUGACGACACGGUCCUCGGGUGUUCCUCUUCGCUGCAAAGAAAUAAGGUAUUAAUGUUAAAUAAAAAAACAUUGUCAAAUUUCAAUAUAAAAUUAACAAUACAAAAGUGUAGUUAUACCUGGCUGUGAUCCCGAGGCACCAGUACCGUCGGUCGAUGUCGUGUCGAUGGUGUCGGUGGGCCGGUGCCGCCGCCUAGCACUAGCUGGUUGCGCCACGGAUGACGCAGAUGACACAGGCGCCUGGGGCGCCCCGGGACCAACCACCACGUGGUCCAACAAAGCAGGAGCAGUGGCAGCAGAUGCCGACUGAGCCAGGGGAUCCGAACUCGGUGCAGUCGUCAUCGACCUACCACGUCUAAUCAAGUCUGACAUCUGCACAUAUAAUUUCAUUCAGAAUGUAAACUAAUUAAUUAAAAGCAUAGCCUGACCUAGGGUUUGGAAUUUCGGAGUAUCCGGGACUCCGAUCAACGAUCGGUCGAAUCCUAAACGAUCCUAGAAACACAAAGGUACAACUACGCGAGUUUCAGUUCGAUCCAACGGUCCGAACAUAUCAAACCUGGAAAUCGCACAAUAGGCGAAAUUCGAUCAAGACUCAAACGGUAACCAAAUUCAAAUCCGAGCAAACCUACGCGCUCGUGACAAACAGGGGAUCGCUCUGGGACACAAUGCCCCACUGCCACAGCAUCCCACGCGCCGGCAGCGCGUGGGUGUCCAAAGCGAUAACAUUCGCCGGAAAAUUCUAAAAACUAACGGCCAAGGUUCCUACCCUAGGUUGAAAACAAUAUUUGGCGCCACUUUUGUUCUCGGACCUACCCCGAAAAAUGGCCGGAAGUGGCCGGAUUUGAAAUUGCCAAACCGGCCAAAACCUAGGGUUUUAAUUCCUAUUUCCUAUACCCAUCAGCUAGAGCACAAAAAAUAGUCGAGAAAUCAUACCUCAGGCGUCGGAAAUGGUGGCCGGAGGAGAGAGAAAACGGCCGGCGAGGAAUCGGUGAAAAACCGACGAUGUGCGACGGCAGGCUCGACGGCGAAGGCAGGGGAGGCUAUGGCAGGAGCGGCGGUGGCUGAGGUGACGGCGGAGAGAGAGGGCUGAGGUGACGGCGGAGAGAGAGGCAAACGGAGGAAAAAACCAGAAAUGGGGAAGAAGGAGGCAUCGCGACGUUUCUGCAAAUUUUUACGACUUUGCGCGACGAAUCACAUCAUUCGUCGCGCAAAAUGCUAUUAAUGAAUCUUGCGCGACGCUAUAUCCGUCGCGCAAGAUCUGUCAGAACGCCAAAUUCUGAAAGUGGAUUAGGGUCUGUAAGUUUUGCGCGACGAAAUAGACAUACUUCGUCGCGCAAAAGGCUGUCUUUCCGCCAAAAUUUUGGGAUUUAGGGUUUAGCGGGAGGCUGAAACUGAAGGGUUUGCGCUUUUGCGCGACGAAGACGGUAAACGUCGCGCAAUGGUAACCUUGCGCGACGGAACGUAUUAUAUUCGUCGCGCAAAAGGCUAUCUUUCCGCCCAAAUUUUGGGAUUCAGGGUUUAGCGGGAGGCUGAAGGGUUUGCGCUUUUGCGCGACGAAGACACUAAACGUCGCACAAAAGGCUGUCUGCUGAAAUGAAUGGUUUCUGCUUUUGCGCGACGAAGACAAUAAACGUCGCGCAAAACGUUGUCGUUCCGCCAACAAUUUGGGGUUUAGGGUUUAGUGUGAAAACUGGCGCCCAGAUUGCGCGACGAAGAGUACAUAUUUCCUUCGCGCAAUCUAUUUCACUUUCACUUUGCGCGACGGAUAUGUUGGUUCGUCGCGCAAUCUUCAAGAUUUUCAUUGAAAUUUUCACUAAGUGUUCAAAGGGGAUGGAGGUGUGAAAACUGGCGCCCAGAUUGCGCGACGAAGAGUACAUAUUUCCGUCGCACAAUCUAAUUCACUUUCACUUUGCGCGACGGUUAAAUUGUUCGUCGCGCAAAAUGUAGACCCUAAACCCCCUUGUAAACCCUAAACCCUGAACCCUAAGCCAUAAACCCUAAACCCUAAAAUAGUUUCAAUGAUCCAACCGGCAAACUUAUUGUUUGAAACUUGGAGAUCAUAUACGCCAAAAAUCAAGAAGACCAAACAUUCAGAUAUCAGGGAACGGGACUAAAUAUUUCGACGGUUAUAAAUGAAAAGUCAUGAUUUAACGGUUAUUGUAACUCCGAUUUUGAUCAAUUUUGACAGCAGCAUUUGUUGACCCUAUAUGAAUACAAUGACUGAAUUUGAUCUUCAAUUUCAGAUUUUUACACUAGGGGAUACCACAUAAACGUGAAGUUACAUUUGCACAAAUGUAUAAACAAAUUUUAGGGUUUUUGGUGAAUAUAUGAUUUUGAUAGCACAUGCAGUCUACGAAACAAGUUUCAGUCAUCCAGCCGUCAAACUUGUUUUUUUAGACUUCGAGAUCAUAGACAGCAAAAAUCGGACAAAAAAAACAUUCAGAGAUUAAGCAACGGGGUAAAACUUUUCGACGGUUCUAAAUAAAAAGUGAUGAUUGAACGGUUAAUUUAACUCCGAUGUUGAUGAUUUUUUGCAGCUACAGUCCUACACUCCAUAUGAAUACAAUGAACUACUUCGAUCGCCAAUUUUAAAUAUAUAUGUGUGUAUAUAUUAUACUAUAACGUUACCUAAUAUAUAUUUGCGCGACGAAAGUUUGCUUAUCGUCGCGCAAAAAUGCCAUACGCGACGCAUGUAUAUAUGCGUCGCGGAAACUAUGCGCGACCAGUUGUAUUCGUUGCGCAAACAUUACGCGACGCUUAUGUAUGCGUCGCGUAUGGUAUGUUUGCGCGACGAUAUGGAGCCCUUCGUCGCGCAUGGAUUUGGCGCCAUAAAUCCUCAUUGAUUUCAAAUUGUGUAUGCUUUGUAUUUUUUAGAAAGGUUUUGUAUUCAUCAUUUUUUAUGCUUUGUAUUUUGUGGAAAGGCUUUGAAAUAUUCAUUUCUUUUGUUAUUUUUAUUGAAGCUUUAACUUGUUCUGUUCCGCAGAAAAUUCCAAUGAAGUUUGUGAUGAAAUAUGGAGAAUGAAUACACAACUACAUAUGGACAACUACACAUAUUCAAAGAUUUGUAUUACACAAAAUUAAUACACUAACAUAAUAAAUUUACAAAUAAAUUCAUUAUUCAUCAUCUGAACUAUAAUAACUUUCGUUAUCGUCGCUAGCUUUAACUUGUUCUGUUCCGCAGAAAAUUCCAAUGAAGUUUGUGAUGAAAUCUGGAGAAUGAAUACACAACUACAUAUAGACAACUACACAUAUUCAAAGAUUUGUAUUACACAAAAUUAAUACACUACAUAAUAAAUUACAAAUAAAUUCAUUAUUCAUCAUCUGAACUAUAAUAACUUUCGUAUCGUCGCUAUCAUCACUCUCGGUCUCCCAAUCUUCUUCCUCCUCCUCCUCUAUAACUGCAUCAUCGGCGUUGCUAGGGCCCACUGCAACAUCGUAUCGGGGAAGAUCACCGAGGUCAAUUGUAAUUGACUGAAUCGGUAUUUCGACUGAAGACACUCCUUCUAUUUGAAACGGUUCUUGUAUAACAUUUGUAUCUCGAAGUGUUUCCGCAUCAUUUUCCAUUGAAGAUUCUAAACGAUGGUCAGCCACAUUGUCGACGUCGUUGUCACUUGGGUCUAGUUCUGGUAUAUUAUACACGUUCCUAUGAUCCAUCUUCUGCACAACUUUCCACCCGUUCCCGGCUUUAGGGUCAUCUAGAUACACAAUUUGGGACGCCAUGUUUGCCAAAAUGUACGGGUCGUCAUCAUACCAAGUUCUGUUAAUAUUCACAGACAGUACUCCAUGGUCGAUUUUAACACUUCCCGCCCUAUUUGGGUUGGUAUCGAACCAUCGACACUUAAACAUGAUGACUUGGUAUCGAUCUUUGUAAAGCAAUUGCACGACAGUUGUCAGUUUGCCAUAGAAAUCAAUGUCUGUACUUUCGCCUCCACCUGGGACAUGAACACCGCUAUUUUGCGUACACAACUUGUCAUCUCGUGCGGCCCCUAAAAAUUUGACGCCGUUAACAUUACAACCCGAGAACAAUUCAGCGCGAAUUGGGCCGAACGCCAAGUUAUAUAACUCAUCACUGUAAGUGGGGGAAUUCGAUGAUUUCAAUUUAUUCACCUAAUAGUAUACAAAACCAUUUACAUGUUAGUCUGACAAAAUUAAAUACUAAAAUUUAUAUUUGUCAAUUACAAAACACUUAUAACUUACAGAAUCCAAAAACCAUUGUGGAAAUAAUUCACGGUGUUUCCGGGCAACCAAAUGUGAUGGAUGUUCUCGCUUCAUCAUCUGUUCAUGCUCAUCUAAGUAGGCCAUUAUCUCAUCACAAUUGUUCAGUACGAACCAAUGCGCUACCUCCAUGUCAUUUCUAGAAAACGACUCUCCUCGUCCAGGAUCUCCAAAUGGUCGUGCGCUUUGGGCAAAAACAGAAAGUUUUUCAUUUCUCAUACCUCCGUCAUUAUUGCGGUGAGGACGAUUGAAAACCGUCUCCACAUCUUUUAAAUACAUUCCACAGAAAGUAAGCGACUCAUAUUGAACCCAAGCCUCUAUAAUUGAUCCUUCGGGCUUUGCCCUGUUGCGUACACUUUUUUUCAGCUCUCCGAGAAGCCUGCCAAAAUAAAACGAUAUGAUACAAAUUAGCAAAGUGUCGAUAAUGAUGCAUACACAAAUGAUAAAGAUUAUAUACCUUUCUAUUGGAUACAUCCAGCGAUAGUUGACAGGACCAGCAAGCAAUGCCUCUUCUGGCAAGUGAACCAUCACGUGCAUCAUACUUAUAAAGAAAGCUGGAGGAAAUAUCAUCUCAAACUUGCAUAGGACUUGGACAAUGUCAUGGCGCAACUGAAACAUGUCUGUCCUUCGCAAUGUUUUUGCCGUCAGUUGGGAAAAAAAUCUGGAUAACAACAUGAUUGGCUUCACCACAUCUUCCGGCAGUAAGUGUCGAAUACCCACAGGAAGUAGGCGUUGCAUGAACACAUGGCAGUCAUGGCUCUUAAGUCCAGUAAAUUUACCCCCAUCGACAUUCACGCAACGUGCGAUAUUAGAAGCAUACCCAUCGGGAAAUUUGACAGACGAUACAAACUUUAGAAACUCCUUUUUGUCAUUCGGUUUCAUAGAAAAGAAUGCAAGAUCCCUUCUAGCUUUAUCACUGUCCCUAUUCAUCCAUAAACCCCUUCGUAUGCCCAUUCUUUCCAAAUCAAGACGAGCUUUGAUCGUGUCCUUCGUCUUCCCCUCGAUAUCUAGAAUCGUGCCCACCAAUGUGUCGAAAACAUUUUUCUCAACAUGCAUCACAUCUAGAUUGUGCCUCAAUUUCAGUUUCGACCAAUAUGGGCGCUCAAAAAACAUAGACUUGUGCGUCCAGUUCAAAUGUGUAGAAGGUCGGGUCCGACUAACUGUUUUCCCGAACGGAGCAAAAUCCAAACGGUUCAGCUGUUCCAAGAUCUCAUCACCGGACCAUUCUCUAGGUCUGAGGCGACGCUCUGUGUUCCCGUCGAACUCUUUAUCUUUUUCUCGCCACUCGUGGUCCCAUGGCAACCAUCUCCGAUGACCAAGGUAACAAACUUUUCCCGCGUGCCAACCAGAAGUUACAUCUUCCUUGCAUACAGGACAUGCCAUAUAACCCUUUGUGCUCCACCCAGAAACCAUUGCAUAUGCUGGAAAAUCAUUCACAGUCCACAUAACUGCUGCUCGCAAAGUGAACAUCCUCCCAGUUGAUUUAUCGUACGUGCGAACACCGUUUGUCCAUAAAUCCUUCAGCUCAUCAACCAGAGGCCUUAAGUACACAUCAAUUGACCUGCCAGGAUCCUCAGUUAUCAAAACAGUCAUCAUCAUGUAUUCUUUUUUCAUGCAUUUCCAAGGCGGCAAAUUAUAUGGGAAUGCGAAAAUCGGCCAAGUGCUGUGGUGUUGGUUUAGAACCCCAUACGGAUUGAAUCCGUCAGUGGCAAGUCCCAAUCUAACAUUUCGGGGAUCAGCAGCAAAUUCGGGGAACGUUCGAUCGAACUCUUUCCAUGCCUCCCCAUCUGCAGGAUGCCGCAUCACAUCAUCGUCUACCCGUUUUUCCUUAUGCCAUCUCAUGUCUGUGGCAGUAUGCGUUGACAUAUACAAUCGCUGCAACCUAGGUUUAAGGGGCAGAUAACGCAUGACUUUUUGUGGUAUCUUAGUCGUUCUAUUCUGGGAUGUCAGUUUGAACCUCGACUCAUUGCAUAUAGGGCAUGUAUCCAACGUUUCAUGCUCUUUGUAGAAUAACAUGCAAUUGUUUUUGCAAGCGUGGAUUUUUUCAUAACCCAAUCCAAGACCGUGCAACACCUUCUGUGCAUGUUUAUGGUCUUUCGGCAAACAAUUGUCCGUCGGAAGCAUUCUCUUGAAAACCCCCAAAAAGUAAUCAAAACACAAGUUCGACAUACGAUACUUUAUUUUUCCGUGCAUUAGCUCCACAAUGGCAGUGAGAACGGAAAACCUCUCGCACCCCGGGUAUAACUCUUGGUUGGCAUUUUUUAACAGUUUUUCAUACUGUUCAAACUCCGCACUGUCUAUUGGUGUAGGCACGUCAUCUUCCCCUUCCUGAUUGAUGUUGGUCGAUGCGAAUGGAAAAGCAUCCUGUAUAAUACCCAUGACUUGAUCAUUAGGAUCCACAAUAGGUUCAACAUUGUCCACUCUCGGGGCAUUUGAAGACGAAGCAUGGUCUACUUGUUCGCCGUGAAGGUUCCAAAUGCUAUAUGUUUCAAUCAUUCCAUUCCUUACUAAAUGAAAUCCAACAUUUUCAAUUGUCUCCCACAACGUGUUGUUACACCUCCUACAAGGACAACGGAUUCUAGUUGCACCCGGGUUGUGUCUACGUGCAAACUCAAUAAAAUCCUCGAUUCCAUCCAAGUAUUCGUCUGCGCAUCUAUUCGGGUUCUGUAUCCACCUUCUGCUCAUAAUUCCUGAAACCACAAUCACGACACAACAAUCACAACAACUUCAUACGAAGUUAUAAUGUCACCUUAUGCCUCCGGUAAGGGCCCUAUCCCAUUCGGGAAUGCAUAGUCCUGUCACGUAACCUACGGCUACAUGAGAUUAGAUUUCGACGUGGAUUAAUUUCAGCAGCAUCUCGACACAGUUCUUGAAGUGGGCAUAGGUAUAAAUACCUACGUACCACCCGAAGAACGUACCGAGAUGACACCGAAAUCUCCACAAUCGAAACCUAAUCCUGUAGCCGAAGAUUAUGUGACAACACUAUGCAUUACCAAACUGUCCAAAUAAUGGGACAAUUCAAGAAUUAAUUGGACCGCAGUCAUGCAUUACGCAUCCAUGCACGAAAUUCAACUAAUCUCGAACGGGAAACUACGUGUUACUAAACAUAAAAAUAAAAGUACGAAGUUAAUUUCAAUUAACUUCGUACAUCACAACACAUUGUGCUAUGUCACGCACAAUUUCACAACAUUAUACACAUAUAACUUCACAAAAAAAUUACAAACAUAACAAACAAACUUUUACAAUAACAUACCUUCUCAAUCGUUCUCCACCAAUCACAAAUAUCCCUAACGAUAACAAAAUUAAUAGCGUUACUACGAAUUUACAUUAAUACAUUUAAACUAACGACAAAAAAUACAUACCCAAUGAACGUACUGAAUUCACAGUAGAGCAACGGCAGAGAGAGUGAGAGAGAGGUAGAAUGCAGUGGGAGAGUGAGAGAGAGGCAGAAUGCAGAAACUGCAUUCUGCCUCUGCAAUGGAACUGGCUAAAAUGAAGAAGAAGGACUUUGCGCGACUAACAAUCCAAUCCGUCGCGCAAAAUGCCGUCGCGAAAACCCACUUUUCCGUCGCACAAAAAAACAUUUCCGUCGCGCAAUUACCUGCCGACAUCAGGUUUUUUGCGCGACGAAUACAAUUAUCCGUCGCACAAACAUCCGUCGCGCAAAUAACAUUAUUCGUCGCGCAAGGUUUAUAUUACGUCGCGCAAAUAACACUUAUUUCGUCGCGCAAGAAAUUACACUUUACGCGACGAAGGUAAUUCCGUCGCGCAAAAAAGUUUUUUCCACCCUGCAUUUUGCCGCCAAAAUUAAGUAACCCUCGUUUUCUUACGCGACGGUACAUAUUUCCGUCGCGCUAAGGCGUCUUUUGCGACGAAAAUGUUCGUCGCGCAAGAUUCUGGCGCCAAAAACAUAAACUGGGGAUUUUUCCCCGACCUUUGCUCGACGAAAUUAGUUUUGGUCGCGCAUAGAUUGUUUGCGCAACGAAGAUUGUUCGUCGCGCUAGUGUUCUGCUGUUUGCGCUACGGUAUUUUUUUUUCGUCGCAAUAGUGAUUUUUGCGCGACGAAAAUAUAUUCGUCGCGCAAACGUCCGUCGCGCAAAUAGUAAAUCGUAGUAGUGUGAUUUGGUUUAGACUUGGUUUAAUUAUCAUUGUUGUGGUUGGUUCACCAAAAAGAUUUGGCUUAGAAUUACCAGUUUUGUUGUUGGUUUAGUUAUGCUUGGCAUUUGAGGAUCCUAUGCUUACUUGUAUGGGUAAUACAUUUUAUUGAUCGUUUCAUAUACUAAUUAUGAACUUUUAGUUCCAUUGUGCAUUUAAGAGUACACAUAUUUCAUAUGUAAUUCGAAAGUUUGUCGCUGAAAUUUCUGAGAAUUUGAAACUAGAUAAGCACACCUUGCACAAAGUUCAUAUAUUUUCUUCCAGCAAGUCUGUCUAUUAACCCCCCUUAUCUGAAAUUAAUUGUUAAAAGUUCUGAUUCAUCUUUAAUCAUUGUCUUACCCUUGUUGAAUAACACUCCUCAUUCUAAUUUAUAUUCGAAGUUUGAGGUUUCAAUUUCAAUUGUGGGCUUUGAUUUUACAGAUUUUGUUUGUCAAUUUCAAUUUGGACAAAGCAUAUGCAAACAAAGUAAGGCAUUAUCUAUUAUUUGGAUCAUUUCCAUAUGUUUAUAUGUUUUUAAUAUCAUUUGCCUAUGUAGUUGACAUGUUAUAACAUUUUCGUAGUGUUGAAUAUAUAUAUAUAAUAAUUUUAUUUUAGUGGAUGUGAGAUCUCAGUUUGUUGCUUUAUAUAAUUAUUUCUUUGCAAUUUAAUUUUUUUUAUCAGUCAUACUAUUGUUGACGGCUAAAAACCAUCAAGAAACAACUCUUAAGUUUUUUAAAAAAUAAAUAAAUAAAUAAAGAUUUGUUGAUGCUUAAAAAGCAUCAAGAAAAGAUAGUUUCUUGACGGUUUUGUGACGUUUCAUAACCGUCAUGAAACAUUACAUUUUGACGAACGUCUUUCUGAUAGUGGCAUCCGUGACGCUUUCCGAGCCAUCAAUUAAGGGCUAUCGUGAUGCUUUUUAGUUGUCAGCAAAAGGUGUUUUUCUUGUACUGUAUUCACUCAAAAUCGUUUUUCAUUUAGGGUUGCUAGUGUGGUUGAAUGCCAUUUGUUUUGUUAAUGAAUAUUAUACAUUAUGGAUUUUUGUAGAAAUGUCGCUUGAAAUUAUACCUCAGUUUCAAUUUGUCACCUUAAAGAAAAAUUUAAGAGAAAUGUCACCUUAAUUUUUCAAAAUCCACGAUUUGUCAUCUCACUUUAACAUCAUCCAAUUUUCCAUCUAUUUUAAGGGUAUUUUAGUCUUUUCAUUUUCAAGGGAAAAAAAGAGAGGAAGAAAAAGACCUCUCUCUUACUUUCUCCCCCAACCCAACCCCACCCGCCCCCCAAAACACAUCGCAUAGGACCGCCUCCCCCUUCCCCACAUUUCUUUUUUCUUUUUGGCCUACUUUUCCACUAUGUUUAUGUUGAAGGAUCUAAAGUUUUCUUGGUCACCAUCUAUUACGUAGGCUACCGACUUGUUGGUUUGGGUGGGUUGAGGGAAUUUGUGUGUGGAGGGCAGGUGUUCAUGUUGUGUGCACCAAGACCUUAUCGUUGAUGAACUAUGUGACGGCACACACACAAACUCGUUGAGAAUAAAACAAACAUACCACCAAGAGAGUAAAACAAACACACAAGGACACAAAGAUUUAUAGAGGUUCGGCCUCCUGCCUACGUCUUUUUGGUGAUUCACUCGAGAAAUUCACUAGUAUGUAAAAAUAACUUUGGUUACAACUGAACCCCCUUAGCCCUCACAAGAACCUUAGAUCUCUUUUCUCUCACCCUUGCUCAAACCCUUUGAUGCCCUUGUAGACACUCAAGAAUUCACCCUUGAAUUCUAUCUUGUGUUACAUCUUCUCUUCUCCCUUUUGUUAACCUAACCCUAAAAGUCCUAUUUAUAAUGCAUAGGACUUAAGUUACAAGUUAACUUGGAAUAGGAAACAUAAAAUACCCCAAAAAUUGGAGAAAAUCUGUCCAAAUCUAGCCUGCAAAAUCAUCCUUCUGCCGCUCGAGCUGCCGGUGGCGCUCAUGGGAUGGGGGAAUUGGAGAUUUUCUUUUCAAUUUUAAUUGUUUAAAAGAUAUACAAUUUUUUAUUAUAAUAAUUUUUCCAUUUUUAAAAUACACUUGAAAAUAGAAAGCUUAAAAUGCCCUUAAAAAUAGAUGGAAAAUUGGAUGGUGUUAAAGUCAGAUGACAAAUCAUGGAUUUUGAAAAAUUAAGGUGACAUUUCUCUGAAAUUUUUCUUUUAAAAGUGACAAAUUGAAACUGAGGUAUAAGUUCAGGCGACAUUUCUACAAAAAUCCCUAUACAUUACAAUAUUAUAACAAUAAAAUUGGCUAAAAUUGAUAUGUUCCCUCUUUUCUUUUCUUUUUCUCUUUUCCUUUUCAUUUUAUGCUUUGUUGCUAUUGCUAUGUUUAUCCUACAAAUAUAGCAACUUCUCCACCAUUCAUUUGUUAGUGACUACGAUGCUUAGUAACUUCUUCAGCUCCCCUUAUUUCCAUGUACUAACCAGGGACACCAGGUCAGCAUCUUCGGUAAGAAUCCUAACUCAAUCAAACAAUGACAUCUGUAAAUAUUCAAAAUUGGAAUUUGCAUUGUGAUAGUUGAAAGCAUCCUUGUCCCAAAAAAAGCCAAAAAAUAAAAUAAAAUUGAGAGCAUUAAGUCCUUUUCAAAUUAUGCUAAUAUGCAAAAUUGGAAUUUUGAUGGAGUUGCUUCCUUGACUUUUCCACCUUUGUAUCCAGUCCACUUUGCACAAGGAGCCAAGUUUGAGAGAUAGUUUUCUGUAUUUACACCAUCCAGGAGAAAAUUAAAAAACUAUUUCAUGCCAAACUAACUACGGAUUCUUGCAAAGGACCCAUUAGUGUAGUGGUUUGGAGUAUUUACUCCCUCAGGCAAGGUCUUGGGUUCGAGUCCUAGCAUUCAUGUUGUGUGUGUGAGUUUAAUAUGCUAUCACCCCUUCCAAUAGGAAAGGACCUCAAAAAAAAAAAAAAAACUACAGAUUCUUUAAUUGAAAGAAACCCCAUAUUAAUCAUCCUUUGGCACAUAAAUGUUUGGUAAUUGGCAUUAAAGUAUCUAAAGGUUACGAAAUUAAAGAUUUUAAUGCAAACCUAAAAUUGGAAAAGAGGGCACCAAUUCAUGUAAAAUAUGGUGUACUUAGUAGAUCCAACAUAUUUUUUUAGCAACCAAGGACAAUCAUCAUUUUUUUUUUUAAGAACCAAGGAUAGCUUACAUUCUAGUUUGUCCAUCAUGUCAACACAUUUAUAAUUAAAACUUCUUUUUUGGUGAGGUUUCAAUUUUUGUCACUGUAACAAGACCACAAUUGCCAUUCAGUAUGCUAACAUUGUCACUAUGUUUGCCAAUUGCAUAUUAUCUAGAACAUAAAGGCUUUGGUGUUUUGUAUAUCCUCGGGGUGCCAAACCUGUCUUUAUAAAAAUGGUCCUUAUGAUACUACUUUAACAACAAAAAAAUAUAAUAAACUAGGCCUUUGUAGUCACUGAACGAAUGUUUUCUCAUAGAUAUGACUAUUUAAAUGUAAUUACGGGAUUAAAACAUUAUAAUAAAUUGGAGUGAACCAUAACAUUAUAUAUGAUCCAAUCCUUUUCAUAUAUUUUUGUUCAAGACUUUGUUUUAGAAUGCUCUUUUACUAAUUUGGUACAGGUCCCUAAAAUCUACGCCUUUAUGAGGCAACGUCUUUAUUUCUUUGGUUAUUCCAGUUUAGAAUAUAUUUGUACAAAUGAGAUGACUCCCAACAUAAAGUCACAUUCAACCAAAAAGCAUGAAGUCACACACAAAAAGAACACGGACAAUUGCUAAGUUUAUCUUGUAUCCUUAUUUUAUUGAUCCAACCCAAUUGAAAAAUAAAAAAGAUGAUAUAAUAUAUUGUUCACUGCUUACAUCCAUGAGUAAAGUCCUCCAUUUGAAAUUGCGUGAUUAUACAAAAUUGGAAUGAAAAAAGAAAAUCCUACAACUAAAUUUGAUAUAUUCCUUUUCAUUUUAUGUUGGAUGUUAAGUUUUCUUGUUUCUUGUUGAAAAGAAAAAUGAAAAGAAAUAAAUAAAUUACACAGCUAGCAACUUCUCCACCUUCCCUUCUUCCCAUGUACUGACAACAAGGGAGGCCUUCAAUCCAAAAUAAAGACAAGGGAUGCCAGGUCAGCAUCUCAGAUAAGUAUCCCAACCAAAACCAAUCAAAUAAUGACAUAUGUAUCUCUUUUUGUGUUUUGUUCUAUUUCUCUUUGAAUUAACUGCGAAGUUUCAUAAGCGUGUCCUCCUUUUGAAAUUGUGUAUUAUUCAAAAUUGGAAUUUGCUGGUCAUACUUGAUAUAAGCUAAAACAGUUUCCAACAUCUUGUACCAUUUUUUUCCAGUGUGGGUCAUAACUUGAAGAAGCCCACCGACAAUUUCUCAAAAGCUAUUACCAUCCAACUUUGAAAAAUAAAAGUUUCAAAAGUUACCCCAAACAACAGCCCUUGAAAGAGAGUUUUCCAAGGCUAAAGAUUACAAGGAUGUUAUUGGCACAUGCAUUAACGUGUGACAAGAAGUUAGUUAUAUUUAUAAAGUAAAAGAACGAAGUACAUAACAUGUAAGUUGAUGCCAAAUAUUUGAUCAACAGAGCUAAACAUAAAACCACGACAAUAUAACGUUGUUCACCAAAAAUUGUGUUUCGUUGAGGGUCAGUAGUGUAGGUUUCAAGAUACGAUUUAUUUUGUUAAAGAAUAUUCUGAUAUUCUAACAAUAAAAUUGGCUCAAUUUGAUAUGUUUCUUUUUUUUUUUGUUUUUGUUUUCCCUUUCAUUUUAUGCUUUGUUGUGCUAUUGCUAAGUUUAUCCUAGAGACCAGGGAUGCUUAGCAAGUUUCUUCACCUGCCCUUCUUCCCAUGUACUAACUAGGGAUACCAUGUCAGAAUCUUAGAUAAGAAUCCCAACCCAAUCAAACUAUGACAUCUGUAAGUAUUCAAAAUUGGAAUUUGCAUUGUGAUAGUUGAGUGGAAGAAUCGAUUAAGGCUUGAGUGGAAGACAAACUUCAGUGGAGGAAAGUAAUUAAUCUCACAAGACAUAGCCCAUCAGUUGGCUCAUUUUUCUUGAGUGUGUAGUCCUGGCCUUGAGGCGAGGCCACAUUGCUUUGGAGAUUUCUUUCUACUUGGUGAAAUUAUAAUUUAGAAGAAGCAAACUGCGUUUUGCAAUUUGUGCGAUUCAAGCAUAUCUGACACUAGUAAUUAGACCAUAAUCUUUGUCCGACCAGAAAAUAAGAAAAGUUGUCUUGUACCAUUUCUGCCAGUGUGGGUCCCACCCACCCCAUACGAGUAAUUUGAAGAAGUCCACCGACAAUUUCCCAAAAGCUUUGGCGUCCAACUUUGCCGACCCCAUCCCCAUGUGAGGCCAUAGAAAAGUUUUCAGCCACAAUCAAAGAAGGGAACAGUCCUUGAAAAGAGAGGGUUUUCCAAGGCCAAGAUUACAAGUUCAUGUUAUUUACAGUCUCAAAAAGCUUCCAUACUUGUUUACAAACCUGUAUUUUCAAGUUGUGCUAGCCUAGCUAUUUGCAAAUCUUGGAAUAUUUUACUUCAUCCAAAUCCCUUGCAGUCUGCAGAGAAGAUAAAAGACAUGGCUUUGAUUGGAGAGGCUCUUAUCUCUGCUUCCGUCCAGGUGUUGUGCGACAGAAUUACUUCACCCGAGUUCGUUGACUUAUUUUGGCACAAGAAACUCGAUGAGCCACUCCUCAGGAAGCUGAGGACGACACUGUUGGCCUUGAACUUGGUGCUCAAUGAUGCAGAGGGGAAGCAACUUGUGAACCGAGAUGUGAAAAAGUGGCUUGACGAGCUCAGACAUGCUGUCUUUGAUGCGGAGGACUUACUGGAUGAGAUUGACACUGAAGCUUUGCGAUGCAAGCUGGAAGAAGGUGAAGAUCAAACUCACAAAUUUACCAAUAAGGUGCGGAACUUGCUCUUUUCUCCUCGUAGUCAUUUUUAUCAGAGCAUGAAUGAUAAGAUAAAAGAGUUACUAGCAAGGUUAGAAAACUUUGUACAACUGAAAAGUGCUCUUGGUCUGGGAGAAGUUGCUGGGAGGAAGGUUUCGCAAAGAACUCAAACAACCUCCUUGGUUCUUGAACCUUAUGUAUAUGGUAGAGAUGAAGUCAAAGAAAAGUUAUCAAAAGUGUUGCUAUCUGAUGAAGCAGGCAAGGAUCCUGUGUCUUUCCUCACCAUUGUUGGAAUGGGUGGGGUUGGCAAGACAACCCUUGCUCGAAUGCUUUACAAUGACGAUAAGGUGAAAGGGCAUUUUAAACUUAAAGCUUGGGCUUGUGUUUCAGACUACGAUGAUUAUAUUAAAAUUACUAAAACUCUCCUUGAGGCAGUCACUUCAAAGCCUUGUAACACGGCAAAUCUGAAUUUGCUUCAAAAAGAUCUAAGAGAGCAAUUGAGGGGAAGGAAAUUUUUAUUUGUGUUGACCUAUGGAAUGAGAAUAAUGAGGAUUUGAACUACCUUAGAGCUCUUUUUAUUACUUUAGGAACAAUGGGAAGUAAAGUCAUUGUAACAACACGGAACAAAAAUGCAGCAUCUGUCAUGCAAAAUGUUCAUAUUCAAUACUUAGAACCAUUGUCGUAGGAGGACUGCUGGUUAUUACUUGCAAAACAUGCAUUUGGAAAUGAAAAGUGUAGUGCACAUUCAAACUUGGAAGACAUUGGAAAGCAAAUUGCACUCAAGUGCAAAGGGUUGCCUUUAGCUGCACAAACACUUGGGAGUUUGUUACGUUGCAAUAUGGAUUUCGAGUACUGGAAUAGAAUACUAAAUGAUAGUUUUUGGGACCAACCCUAUGAUAAAACUAACAUUCUUCCGGCUCUAGGGUUGAGUUACCAUUAUCUUCCUACUCAGUUGAAACGAUGCUUUGCUUAUUGUUCAAUUUUUCCAAAGGAUUAUGAGUUUGAAAAGGAAGAUAUAGUUCAAUUAUGGAUUGCAGAAGGUAUAAUUCCACAAGCUGAGAAUGGAAAAAGGAUGGAAGCAUUGGCUAGAAUAUACUUUGAUGAGCUGUUAUCACGAUCGUUGUUUCAAAAGUCAAGUAAAUUCAGCUUCAUUAUGCAUGAUCUCAUUAAUGACUUGGCUAUGUUCAUGUCUCAGGGGUUUUGCCUUAGGCUCGAAGAUGGGGUAUCCCGUGAAGUUAAAAGAGCUCGUCAUUUGUCAUAUGCUAGGGGAGAAUUUGAUGCUGCUCCAAGAUUUGAACCAUUAUAUGAGGCUAAAUGUUUGCGGACCUUCCUACCUACCAUUUGUUGUGGGCAAAUCUACUGGAUCAGGCAUAAGAGAACUGAGGCAGUUCCCGCAACUUCGAGGAAAACUAUCAAUUUUGAAGCUACAAAAUGUAGUUGAUGCGAGGGAUGCACUGCACGCCAAUAUGAAGCACAAGAAAGAUCUCAAGGAGUUAGAGCUUUCAUGGGGUGCGGAGGAUGCUGAUGAUUCCCAAAAGGAGAAAGAUGUACUCGACAAGCUCCAGCCUUGCGUGAAUUUGGAGAAAUUAACCAUCAAAUUCUAUGGUGGAACUAAUUUUCCGAAUUGGUUAGGAGACUCGUCUUUUUCUAACAUACAAGUCAUGCAUCUCAGUGACUGUAGUUAUUGUUGGUCGCUCCCACCAGUUGGACCGCUACCGGCACUCAAACAGCUCUGUAUAAGAAGAAUGAAGUUUGUGAAGACGAUUGGCGUUGAAUUCUAUGGCAGAAAUGGAGCUUAUCUGACUCAGCCAUUUCGAUCUCUGGAGAAGCUAGAGUUUAGGGAGAUGCCAGAGUGGGAGGAAUGGGUACCAAGUGGAAGUGCAAGUGGAGGUGAAUAUGGUCCAGACUUUCCUCGUCUCCAGGAGCUGAUUCUAUACGAGUGUCCGAAGCUAAGAGGAAGUUUGCCUUGUGAGUUGCCUUGCUUGAAGAAGCUUACGGUGUAUGGGUGUAAGGUUUUACAUGAUGGAAGGGCCAUUACCGCAACUACCAAUAGUCUUAACUAUAAAUCUCUGGAAGAAUUGAAUAUAAGUGGUGGAUGCCAAACUCUGUUAUCAUUAUUAGAGACAAAGCUCCUGUCCGGACUUGAGAUUCGAAAUGUUGUUGACAUACAGUGCUUGCCCAACUGCAGUCGUCUUCAACAUUUGACUCUUUCGAAUUGUCCAACGCUGUCAUCAUUUCCCAAAGAUGGCCUACCCACUACAUUGACAUCACUUUAUAUAAACAAUUGUAGGAAAUUAGAAUUCCUACCUCAUGAGAUGUUGGCCAAAUUAACAUCGCUUGACUAUUUGUGCAUACAAAAUAGCUGUGAUUCAAUGAGGUCCUUCCCGUUGGGCAUUUUUCCCAAAUUGACGAGGCUUGAAAUUCGUGGUUGUGAGAAUCUGGAAUCCCUUUCCUUGAUUGAAGAAGAAGGAGCUGUUGAGAAUCUCAGCCAUCUCAAUUACUUGCAAGUCUAUAACUGUCCAAAAAUGGUGUGUUUUCACGAGGGAGAAUUGCCCACUCCCAACCUGAGUCACUUUGUAGUCGGUGGUUGCGAGAAUUUGAAGUCAUUGCCCAAAAGCCUUCACACCCUCACUGCCCUUCGAUCUUUGUCGAUAUGUAAUCUUCCGAAUCUGGAGUCAUUUGCAGAAGAUGGGGGUUUGCCUCCCAACCUCCGACAAGUAAGUAUUAGGAAUUGUGAGAGACUGAGGGCUUCAUCAGUGGGUUUGCAAGCACUUGACUCCCUUGAGAUCAGUGGAAGUGACCAUGUAUUCUCUAUCACACUCUUCACAUCUAUUCUCUAUCAACUCUGAAAUCUUUGGACGGAAAGGGUCUUGGACACCUCACUUCUCUUCAAGAGCUAGAUAUUAACAGGUGUCCAAGUCUGGAAUUCCUGCCAGGAGAGGAACUUCAACACCUCACUUCUCUUCAAAAUCUAUACAUUUGGAACUGUCCCAGUCUUCAAUGCUUGCCAGAAGAGGGUUUUCCAUCAUCUCUUUCUCAUCUGAGUAUCCGCCGGUGUCCUACCCUGGAGGAAAGGUAUAAGAAUAAAACGGGACGAGAUUGGGCCAAGAUAUCUCACAUUCCUUGCAUCGAGAUAGGCAACGAAGUGAUCAUAUAAUAUGAGCUAUUCCAUAUUUCACGCUCAACCCUCAACUCUCAAAUCAAAGUCAGGUGAGGUAUGUGCCUUCUCUUACUUUAAAAAACUGCUGCUCAAUAACACUCUUCGCACUCUAUAUAUUAUGGCCUGUCAGUCUAAAAUUCCUGCCAGGAGAGGAACUUGAACGCCUCUCUUCACUGCAAAGGCUACAUAUUUGUGGGUGUGACAAUAUCCAAUUCCUGCCAGAAGAGCGUUUGCUGCAAUCUCUUUCUUAUCUGUGCAUCGACCAUUGUUUUGCCAUGUAGAAAAGGUAUCUCACAUUCCUUGCGUCAAGAUAGGUGAAGAAGUGAUCAUAAGAUAUGAGCUCUCUCUCCCUCUCGCUCACAUACAAAGUACUUAAAACACUCAAUCUGAUUUCUAUUAUUAUUUUGCUCAGUAAAUUUUGUUUAAAUUUGCUUUGUUUCUCAUUGCGCUUGUUCUGCUUAUCACAACUUAUAUCCUAUUUAAAUCUCAAAUGCUGAAUAGUUAGCAGUCUUUUCGCAGGACAGCAUAUCUUCUCUUGGAGAGCUAUUCAUUUGCAAGGUUUCUUUAUGUGUCAUUUCCAGAGGAGGGUUUACUAUUUAAUAGAAAGGUUCACCUGGAAUAUCUCAAAUGACACAUUCCCAAAUACAGGCAUUGAAUGCACAACAUUUUGAGGUACUAUUUUUGUAAUAAAAAUGUACUUGAGUCUCAUUUGAGCUAGUUUAAAUUGUAUUCAAUGUCUAUGGAUAACCUGUGAGCUUAAGUUGUAAGAUAAAACUCACAGUAUAUUAUUAGGGUUUAGGGUUCAACAGGUGAGCUUAAGUUGUACUUUCCUAGGUACUGCAUGUAUAUUAUCUUAGUAUCAACACUUGGUCUUAUGUGGACGAGAGAGAACAUUUGAGGAAUUACAAAAUCUUCUUAGUGAAUUAAGCUUGUUUCAGCUCUGUUUGUCAUCCCUCACAUUUUCUUUGUUAAGCCUUGAUUUUUUAUUAGACAUACGAAAAAAUGCUUUUAUAAGACAGGAGAUGAAUGCUUUUAUAUGUUGAUGUCGUAGUCAGUCUUCAACCACACUCUGUUUUUAGAAUUCAUUUAUGUUACUAGUUGAGAGCUGCUGUAUUUUAUAUUUCGUUCCUGUAAUGUUUGGAUGUUUAGCUUGAGCAGUCUAGCUUAUCCAGUAGAUAACUUGUCCCCUGUUUUGUAAUGUUUUUGUUUCCUCUAAUGAAAGCAGGUUUUACUUAUCUUGAACUGCAGAAGCCUACUUUUUGACAUAGGUGGCAUGGCACAAACUCGCAUCCGCAUUUCCAUCCCCAUUGGCAUGCUGUCUCAUCUUUUCUAUUCUGUUACCAGCUUGAAGCUUGUGUGGACAUGUUAUGCUCUUGUAAUUCUGAUCACAAACAUCACUUGACAAAUGGAAAGUCACAAUCAGAUCUUUCAGGUGAUCUGGAGGUUUACUUUCUAACAUUUGUUUUCGUGGGGGGGAGACAACAAUACAGAAUUUAAAAUUUCUGAUAAUCAAUAGUAGUUUGCAUAUAUCAGCUGGGACCUGUAUGACUGUAUUAUGUAAUUAAUUAUUUCUCUUAUUGUUUGGGUACUGUUAAAAGGAGUUAGCCACACAACAUAAAAAAGGAGGUCUCUUAUUUCAUACAAUUUUUCAAAUGUGAUCAUUAAUCCGUUUCUUUUUCAACAAUAGAGGAAUGUAUACUAAUCGUCUGGUCCAUCUGCUGCUUCACUCCCUAGUAGCUUCAUCUCCUGUCCUUUGCUUUAUUUCUGUUGAUGAAUGUUUUGUCUGGGUUAUUUAUUUUCAUUUCAUGUCCAUUGCUUUAUUUCUGUUUGGAUUCUUAAUUAAAUCUGUCCUGGACUUGAACAAGGGUUAGGUUAGCUGUAUAAUUUGCGGUUUUAUAUACACAACUGUCUACAUUGAUUAAAACCAGCAUUAUUCUAAGGUUCAUUUAGAAUGUAUUAUCACCAAAAUUAUAAAGAAUACUUCUAUUACAAUUAAUUUGUUGAUUCUAAUUUGGACUUGUAGGAACAGACCAAACAUGUUCAUGCGUGGCAUUGCUCAAGUCAUCAUCAUUCGAGACAGAGAAUAAGCCUUCAAGUGUCUGCUGAGUCAAUGAACCUUUCUAGAUAUCUCAAGUGUAAUGGAAAUUGAUGAGUUACAAAGGAUUUGUAAACAUUUUCUACUGGAGGCUAGAAAUGCUUCAAAUAAAUGACCGUGUUGCAAUUAUUUUGUAGGAUCAAAGACUCUGCAAAGAGGUAAGAAAGUCAUCAUCAAGUAACUUUGCUCUUCAAACUUUUUAUUUUUAUUUUUAAAUAUCAGUAAUAACUGGGAAAGCUUGCAUCUCCUUAAAUUGCUCAUUCUUACAUCUUUUAUAGUUUGUUGAUCUUGGGCAAGUGGAGAGAGAGGCGUCAAGUGAUACGCAACAACCAUUUUCUGUGAGCUGAUUUGAUAAAGAGAAAUGGUAUGCUUUCUUGUCUUAAGCGGUGUGUUCUGCAAUUAUUUGAAACAAAGGAUGCCGCACUUCAAGUUCGAGAAAAUCAGGUAUUUUAGUAUUUUAUUCUUGAGAAAUUUGAUUUAUGUAGAAACUUGAACAUGUAAAUAAAAUAAAUAAAAUAUAUUAUAUGCUGUUAAUGAGUUAAUAUGGUGCUUGCUUCUAGUUGGAAAUUUAUGUAGUCAUCUACCUAUGAUCAAAUAAAGAUGAAGAAUAAAAUAUAAUUGAGAGCAUCUUCCUCUCCCCUGCUUUGCUCAUCCCUUGUUCUUCCACUUCAGCCCCACUAUUACACCAUUUUUUCAGCCACAAUUAUAAUAGCUCCAUGAGCAUUAAGUCCUUUUCAAAUUCUGCUGACAUUCAAAAUUGGAAUUUGCUGGUGAUAUAUGAUAGCAUCUUUGUCCGACCAAAAAGAGAAAAAAAAAAAGUUGAUAGCAUAUUGUACCAUUUUGGCCAGUGUACGCAAUAUUAUUGCAUCCAACUUUGCAUAUUAACAUCAGUGGCCACAGUUCCAUGAUUUGAGUGCACAGAAAAGUUUCAAAAGUUGUCCCACAAAGAACAGUCGUUCAAAGUGAAAGAGAGAUUUCAAAGCUUAAUUACAAGUUCAUGUUAUUUACAAUAUCAAAAAGCUUUCAUACUUGCUUACAAACCUGUAUUUCCAAGUUCUGCAAACCUUGGAAUAUCACUUCAUCCAAAUCCCCUUCCAAAGCAGGAAAAAAUGGCAGCAGCUUUGAUUGGAGAGGCUCUCAUCUCUGCUUCUAUCGUGGUGUUGUGUGACAGAGUUACUUCAGCCGAGUUCAUAGACUUAUUUCAGCAGAAGAAACUUGAUGAAACACUCCUCAUGAACCUGAAGACGACACUGUUGAUUUUGUUUGCGGUGCUCAAUGAUUCAGAGGAGAAGCAAAUUGUGAACCCUGAAGCUUUGCGAUGCAAGCUGGAAGGUGAGGAUCAAACCCACAAUAAUUAACCAAAAAGGAUCUUUUUGAUUGUUUGAAAGGAGGGUCUUGAUGAUUUGAAAGGAGAGGGUUGCUUUAUUUCUGUUGGAUGCUUAAUUAAAUCUUAUUUGGAGUUGAACAAGGAUUAGGUUAGCUGUAUAAUUAGUGGUAAACGCCUUUUUCUAAGGGUCAUUUAGACUCCUAUUACGAUUAAUUUGUUGUUUCUAAUUUGGACUUGUAGGAACAGACCAAAUAUGUUCACACGUGGCAUCGCUCAAGUCAUCAUCAUUUCAGACUGAAAAUCAGCCUUCGAGUGUCUGUUGAGUCAAUAAACCUUUCUAGAUAUAUCAAGUGCAAUGGAAAUUCAUGAGUUACAUAGAGAUUUUUAAACAUUUUGAAGAUUGCAACACCUGCAAGUGAGAUAGGCGGUGACGAAAUCAGAGCUGAUUUUGAAGCCUCUGAUGCCCCUGUUGUUGCAAGUUGCACCUGAGAACAAGUUUUUUUUUUCUUUGGGGUAAAAAACUGGCAACAUGUUCGGAGCUGACAAUUCAAUCCCUGAUGAACUAGAGAAGCAAAGCUCCGGUAAGGAAAUUGGUCAAGGUUGUGACAGGGAUGAUUGAUGGUGAAAUGGAUGCUAUUUCUUAUUGCAGCCUGUUCUCAAAGUUCUUGUUGGCAAAUGCAAUUGAUGGAGUAUUUUGAUUGGGAGGAGAGAUAAUGACAUGGCUUGACAAUUCUAGAACAGCCCAUCAUUAAUCCCAGAAAAAAUCCCGUUUCUGCUAAACAAUCACUUAUGGCAAGGCCAACUCUGUAAAUGGAAUUUGUGAUCCCUUCAAAUUGUACACAUUUUUUCUUUUUGAGGAAUUUAAUCAAACAGUAUUCUAAUGCAUUAUGAUAGCACUACACGCUUUUGUUGUAACAAAUUACAAGGAGGAAUUUGGAUUGAGUUUCUUGUAUAAGCACACCUUACACAAAUUUCGUAUAUUUUCUUCCAGCAAGUCUGUUUAUUAACCCCCUUAUCUGAAAUUAAUUGUUAAAAGUUUUGAUUCAUCUUUAAUCAGUGUCUUACCCUUGUUGAAUAACACUCCUCUUUCUAAUUUAUAUUUGAAGUUUGAGCUUUCAAUUUCAAUUGUGGGCUUUGAUUUUUCAGAUUUUGUUUGUCAAUUUCAGUUUGGACAAAGCAUAUAUGCAAACAAAGUAAGCAUUUUAUGUUAUACUUUUGAACUAGGUGUUGAUUUGAUUUAAUCAUAAGUUUUGCUGGUGCAUUUACUAGGCUAAUCAUUCAAUACUUUUGAUCAUAGAACUUCUUUGGUUGAUAUUAUCUUUGUUAAGUUUAACCAUAACUUUAGAGAGGGGACUUCAACAGAUUUAUAAUCUCAUCAUUAUAGUAUUAAAAAUUAGAGAUUAUUUAAGGCAUUGUCUAUUAUCUGAAUUCUGCUUACUUUUAGUUCAUAUGUUUACAUCUUAGCAUAUUCAUGUGAUUAGUGCGGCUCAUACCACAAAGGCAAUUUUAGGCUCAUCAAGUGCUAAGCAAUGUCAAGCUUCCAAAUGACAAGUUCUCUACAUAGUUUGAGACCUACACUUACUAGAUAUUAGAUCAUUUCGAUCAUUUCCAUAUGUUUAUAUGUAAUUGACAUGUUAUAACAUUUUUGUAGCGUUAUAUAAUUAUUUAGCAAUUUAAUUAUUUCUUUGCAACUUAAUUUUUUUUGUCAAUCAUACUAUUGUUGACUGCUAAAAACCAUCAAGAAAUAGUUCUCAAGUUAUAAAAAAAAAAAAAUUUUAAAAAAGAUUUGUUGAUGCUUAAAAAGCAUCAAGAACAGAUAGUUUCUUGACGGUUUUGUGACAUUUCAUAACUGUAGGGGGCUUUUUCUUCCGACAGCUGUAAAUGGGCUGGGCUGCCGUAAAGGGCAGACUGAUGAAAUUGUCCCCUUUUGUAUGAGCUCAAAAAUUAAGCCCCAAAAUACUUUGAAAGGGCAGCAGAGCCUUAGGAAGUAUUUUGGUUACCCUCACCAACUAAAACAACAACAACUUACAGGUAAUUACUUAAUGCUUAUGGAUGAACUCUUGAGCUUGGCAUGAGAGACAUAUGGCAUGGAAGCAAAAUCAACAUGAGUUUAGCACUGAGGGGAAAUUUAGGCUCUCUUGGGGGAAAAAGGGAAGUGUUAAGGUGAGAGAGGAGAAGUUUGUAGGAGAUUUAGCUAAGAAAGGAGAAAUAUAGAACAAUGCUCUUUUGGCAGCUUGACAGAUGCUCUGUUUGCCAGAAAAGGAAGAUGGAGAAGAAAUGUGAAUAGUGCAAGAGUUUGCUAGAUUUUUGCAGGUAAGAGAGGAAGCUUGCUCUCUGGGUCUGAGUUGAGUUUUUUUGUGUGGAAGAGACCUCAUUUUAUAGCCCUUGGAAACCAUCACUUCCCAAGAAACCCUAAUGGCUUCUACCCAUUUUGGCCAAGCUUUUCCCUUCCUUUCUCAUUUCCUUCCUUGACUUUACCCCUCUUGAUGAAAUCCCCUCUGCCUAUUUGCACCAUAUCAGAGUUUUUUGAAGCUCAAGGCCCCUUUUUCCCGCAGUUGUCUCAAUGGGAGACUUCCAUUCCCAGUCAUCUCCUUUAUUGCUUUCCUUUCUUUUUUUCAUGGCCAAGUUUGGUGGGGAAAGGAGUUGGGAUAUAUAUGCUGGUUUGAAGGGUGCUUCUCUUCCUGGCAUCUUACACACUAAUACCCCUUGGUUCCUUGAAUGUUUUGGCUUUGAAACUUGCUCUCCCCCCCCCCCCCCCCCCCCCCAUGUACUGGAACCUACCAGCAGCUCUAUUCAAUGAAUCUUCAGACCUUCUCUUCGUGGCUUUUAUUUUUUAUCAACGGGCUGGGGCUUUUGUGGCUCAUUGUGGCAAUUGUAUGGGCUAAGGUGGUUCAUUAAGUAAGUGGGCUAUUUUUAUUAAACAUUAGGCUUUUUGGUUGAGUCACUAGGCUAUUUUGAUUGGGCUAUUGGGCUAUUUUUUUCCUCUCUUGUGCUCACCCACAUGUUUGGACCAAAGAAAUGAGCUUGAGUCCUGAGGCUCCCAAGCGACCCGAGACUUUCCAUUUCUGGCCCAUCAAUGGGCCUCAUGUUGAUUUAUUACCAUCCAUACCACAACCCACUCAAGCAGGCUCCGGGCAUUUGAAUGACUUGGGCGCACUUAGGCUUGUAGUGUGGUUGGGUGCGAAAUAACGAUUUCGUGCUUGGCAUGUUUUAAUUUUAUCAUCCUUGGGAAAGGCUGCGAUGUUUGAUUUCGGCAUGGGCUUGUAGAGCUGGUAUGCUUUAUUUCAACUCCUAGCAUGACGAAUUAUUUAUUUAGCAUGGCACGUGAAUUACAACUCGCAUGUGGUGGGUUUUUGUGUACUACACCUUACGCCUCUUCUUAAUAGAACAUCGUUUUGGGCUGAUAAUUUAUUCGGGCCAAACCGUGAAUUUUUUGGGUCUCAAUAAUAACCAUCAUGAAACAUUACAUUUUGACUGACGUCAAGAAAUGGGGUAUCCCUUUCCUGAUAGUGGCAUCCAUGAUGCCUUCCAAGCAGUCAAUUAAGGGCUAUCGUGAUGCAUUUUAGUUGUCAGCAAAAGGUGUUUUUCUUGUACUGUAUUCACUCAAAGUCGUGUUUCAUUUAAGAUUAGUAGUAUGGUUGAAUACCAUUUGUUUUGUUAAAGAAUAUUAUACAUUAGGGAUUUUUGUAGAAAUGUCAUUUGAACUUAUACCUUAGUUUCAAUUUGUCACCUUGAAGAAAAAUUUAAGAGAAAUGUCACCUUAAUUUUUAAAAAUCCAUGAUUUGUCAUAUGACUUUAAAAUCAUCCAAUUUUCCAUCCAUUUUAAGGGUAUUUUAGUCUUUUCAUUUUGAAGGAAAAAAAAGAGAUGAAAAAAGAGACCUCUCUCUUACUUUGUCCCUCAACCCAACCCCACCCGCCCCCCAAAACACAUCACAUAGGAUUGCCUCCCCCUUCCCCACUUUUCUUUUUUCUUUUUGUCCUACUUUUCCACUAUGUUUAUGUUGAAGGAUCUAAAGUUUGCUUGGUCACCAUCUGUUACGUAGGCUUCCCAAUUGUUAGUUUGGGUGGGUUGUGGGAAUUUGUGUGCUCGAAACCCGAGACGAAUCUUGUGGAAUUCCCGACAUCACACCGAUGCCGGGCCCACUUCUGAACUAAAUUCUCUUUUCCAAAAUUAAGGAAAAAGAGUACGAGGCUUUCUGCCGAAAUUUCGACAGAGUAUUCCCUAUAAAUUUAACAUUUCAGCUUUGGUGGCCGUUCUCUCAUUUCAGCUUUGGUGGCCGGAUGAGAGAACGGUCGGCUAAAACGUGGCCAGCUGGCACUGCCGUCGCGAGAGAGAGAGAGAGAGAGAGAGAGAGAGAUUUUUAUCAAAUCAUUUUUGCCAAAAUUACGAUUAUGCAACUGAGGGUAUUUUGAUCGUAUCUUUUUCAUUAUAACUCUGAUUCAAGCCCACUACGUGUUUACGGACUCAUCUCGCCGUGCUCUAUGCAAUUGUAUAGUUGAAAUUCCCAAAUUCCACCCCAGUCAAAAAUUCAACUUUAAACCCUACAAAAUAUUAUAGGGGCAAAAUGGUCUUUUAUCUAAUUAAAUUAAUAAUUGAAAAUUUAUUUAGGACCGGGUUGUUACACUGUCGUUGAUGGACUGUGCGAUGACACUCACACAAAGUCCUUGAGAAUAAAACACACACACACCAUGAAGAGAGUAAAACAAAUACACAAGUACACAAAGAUUUAUAAAGGUUUGGCCUUCUGCCUACGUCCUCUUGGUGAUCCACCCGAGAAAUUCACUAGUACGUAAGAACAACUUUGGUUACAACUAAACCCCCUUAGCUUUCAUAAGAACCCUAGAUCUCUUUUCUCCCACCCUUGCUCCAACCCUUUGAUGCCCUUGUAAACACUCAAGAAUUCACCCUUGAAUUCUGUCAUGUGUUACAUCUUCUCUUCUCCCCUUUGUUAACCUAACCCUAAAAGUUAUAUUUAUAAUUCAUAGGACUUUAAGUACAAGUUAACUAGGAAUAGGAAACAUAAUAGACCUCAAAAAUUGGAGAAAAUAUGUUUAGAUCUCGUUAGGAAAUUGCACAACACGUGCGAUCCGCUCGAGCGCCUGCAAAAUGAUCCCUUUGUCGCUCAAGCUGCCGAUAGCUCAUGGGAUGGGGGAAUUAGAGAUUUUUUUUUUUUUCAAUUUUAAUUGUUUAAAAGAUAUACAAUUUUUUAAUAAUAAUUUUUCCAUUUUUAAAAUACCCUUGAAAAUAGAAAGAUUAAAAUGCCCUUAAAAAUGGAUGGAAAAUUGGAUUGCGUUAAGGUCAGUUGACAAAUCAUGGAUUUUGAAAAAUUAAGGUAACAUUUCUCUUAAAUUUUUCUUUAAAGUGACAAAUUAAAAUUGAGGUAUAAGUUCAAGUUACAUUUAUGCAAAAAUCCUUAUACAUUAUGAUAUUCUAACAAUAAAAUUGGCUAAAAUUGAUAUGUUCCCUCUUUAUUUUCUUUUUCUCUUUUCCUUUUCAUUUUAUGAUCCAAUCCUUUUCAUAUAUUUUUGUUCAAGACUUUGUUUUAGAAUGCUCUAUUACUAAUUUGGUACAGGUCCCUAAAAUCUCGGAGCCGCCUUAGUACAUUCAUAAUGUACAUGUUCAGAGUUCAAGAAUAAUGUAUAGAAUGUGAAAUUGACGAUGCCGGCCUUUAUGAGGCAACGUCUUUAUUUCUUUGGUUAUUACAGUUUAGAAUAUUUGCACAAAUGAGAUGAUUCCAAGCAUAAAGUCACAUUCGACCAAAAAGCAUGAAGUCACACACAAAAAGAACACGGACAAUUGCUAAGUUUAUCCUUGUACCCUUAUUUUAUUGAUCCGACCCAAUUGAAAAUUAAAAAAAGAUGAUAAAAAAUAUUGUUCACUACUUUAAAAUCUAUGAGUAGAGUCCUCCAUUUGAAAUUUCGUCAUUAUACAAAAUUGGAAUGAAAAAAGAAAAUCCUACAGCUAAAUUUGAUAUAUUUCCUUUUCAUUUUAUGCUGGGUGUUAGGGCUUGUCAAUGGGCCGGGCUAGGCUAGCCCGGCUCAAAUUUAAUGGGCUUGGGCUAGGCCGGGCCAAGCUUUAAAGAGGAGAGAGAAAAUAUCCGGCCGAGUUUUUUAAGAAAAUUCAAAGCCCAAGCCCGAAUCACUGCUGUCUAGCCCGGCCCAAAUUUAAUGAGCUUGGGCCAGGCCGAGCCAAGCUUUAAAGAGGAGAGAGAAAAUAUCCGGCCGAGUUUUUUAAGAAAAUUCAAAGCCCAAGCCCGAAUCACUGCUGUCAUUUCAUUGAUUUGUGACGAGCACAACCACCAAAUCAGAAUUUACUCACGAAAAUAUCAAGUAUGUCUAGCAAAUUUCAAUUUUGAAUAAUACACAAUUUCAAAAGGAGGACAUGUUGCAAGACAGCAUACCUUCUCUUGGGGUGCUUUUCAUUUUGCAACAUUUCUUUACGUGUAAUUUCCAGAGGAGGGUUUAUCAUUGUAUAUAGCUUUUCGGGUGGUUUGUCUACAAAACAAAUGUCACAAAGAAGGAGGAGAAACGGAAAAGAUUUACUUGGAAUGUCUCAAGUCUCCUUUGAGAUAAAGGCAUCGAAUGCACAACAUUGCUUUUGUGCUAUUUCAUAAUUAAAGUGUGCUUCCCAAGUCUCCUUUGUGUUUUGUAACUUGUAAUGUUUGUUUUUUUGUUUCCCCUGUUUUCCCUCUUAUAAAAGAAAUACAGGUCCAAACCACACGGAUCUACUUGCAUAAUAAUGGACCAAAUUUAUGAUUUUUAGAAAGAACCUUCUGCCGGUGGAAUCUUGGGCUACUGUUGUGGCUCUCCUCUGUGUGCCUCCUUUUUAGAACGGUAAAAUAUUCAAAAUACUAGAAAAUGUUCGUGAUUAAUAUAAAUAUUAAGAAUUGAAAUUAUUAAUUAAAUGAGGAUAAUAUGGUAAAUUCACACUUUUUUAUAUUAAAAAAAUUAAAAUUAAAAGAAAAAUCAGAUAAUUGAUAUUAUUUUUAUGGAACACAGCUACUCAUUAUCUUUUUUAAUUCUAAAAUAAAUUUAAAUUAAAGAAAAAAACCCCUCUCACAGGCACGGAAGCGCGUGCUCAGAGGCUAGUUAAAAAUAAUGAACUUUGCUUCUGAAGACGUCUAUACCAGACCCACUCAACCUGCUUUAUGAUUAUACAAAGAACAAACUCGUCCUUAGACUCAUUUGGUUAAACUUAGAAAAUAAUGAAACAAAAAUAUGCACUCCCACAAGUAACACAGCCAGGAUUGAAAACAACUGGACAAAGAAAGGCAUGUUAAAACAGAAUUUUCAACAACUCAUCACCAUUAGACAAGAAAAAGAAAAAUCAAUACAAAAACAGAAAGAACAGAGAAUAAAUGUGGUGGAAGAAAAACGUUGAAGCCAUUUGUGAAUCCAACAACACUACCACUCUGUUUCUCUCCUUUUGUUCAGGCGGAUCUGCAUAUAUCCUAAGGCGUAUUACGGAAACAACUUCUUGCCGUUAUACUUGAAUGUUGUGGAUGCUUCAACGUUGCCAUCUGGGUGGAGUGGAUUUGUCCAAUUCACCUUCACUAUGGUAUAUACGUCCAAAUUGUUGUUAUUUGAAAGGCUUCUAAAUUUUAACAUUUUGAUUUUUAAAUUUUGUUUAAAUAUUUCGGCCCACUUAGUUCUUCUCAAAAUAUGUCAUCAAUAUCGUUGAAAGGUUGAACUUAGUGAAUUAUUAUAGUGCAGUACUGUAGAAUAGACACAUGAUAUAAUUUGUCCACAUGUUAUAAUAUAAGUAAAUAUUUAUUGAUAUUAUUUCUAAAAAUAAGAAAUAUCAACCAUUAUAUCCUCCCAUAUUAUAAUACAUAUACAAAUUAUACCACAUUAUCAUACUCUAAUACCAUUUUAUAAUUUCUCGUACUUAGAGCGAGUCAAUGACAUUACAUAAUAUAUAAUUGUUCAUAUAAUGGGGCAACUAACGUGAUCAACAAGUUGUGGUGAUUAAUUUAACAUAAUAAAAAAUAUACCAUUUACUUGAGUGAUGUAACAAUUUGUUCUUUUAAAUUGGAUUGCCAUCACUUUAAUAUGAUAUGUUUCUUAUUAUAGUGUCCCAUGUUAAGUGCUUCAGCAUUGUUUGUGGUGUGUACACAAAUUUUCUUAUAAAAUGUUUUAAUGCUUCUCACAUGUAUAUCAGAUAUAGACAGUUGAUGUGACUUAGAAAUCAAAUUGUCAAUAAAGCAAAAAAAUAUAAUUGGUGAUUGAGGUCCAAUUUAAUAGAAAAUAGUCUUAACUUGUAUAUUAGAGGUUUCAGAUUCGAAUCCUCACUGCAUUAUUGUUGUAUACGUACACGAGAAAUCCUCUUCUCCAAUAAUUUAGACUAUCACUUAUACUAAAAAAAUAUAUAUAUAUAAUGACUUUUACGGAUGCAAACAUAAAAUUACACCAAACAAUAAUGGAAUAGAAAGAUGCAAGUUAUUUUUUUUUUUUUUACAUCUAAAGUAUACUUUAUAUAUAUAUUUAUUAUGGGUGUUAUAACCGUUUAAUUUUCAGUUUUUAUUUUCUAUUUAUUGUUUUAAUUUUUAUGGUUUAAUGUGUAUGAAGAUUACAAGUAUUGGAUGUCUACCACUCCUCCUUCACAUCUGAAACAAACCACCAUCUCAUUUCUGUAUUUUCAUACUUUCAUAUAUUUUCUACUUUCCAGAUUAUUAUUUUUGGGCAACGGUUCUGUGACUUGCAGAUUUCUAUCCGAUUGUUAACAUGCUCAUAGCGGACCUUGAGCUUGCGUAUUGGGGAUCGUAUCUUGGAGCCUUAUAGACCUUUAUUACCUGCAUGUAGGGAGGUUAUAAAUGCUUUAGGUCAGCAUCUUUGACGUGCUUUUGCUUUCUUUUUUUUUUUACUUAUUUCUUCGUUUCUUUAUUUUUACUUUACUUUUAAAUUUUUAUUUUAUGUAUUAUUUAUAUUUAAAAGUUUUGAAUAAGAGUUUUACAGAAAAGGAAAAACACAAUUUCAAAUAACACAAAUUUCUCGUUUUUGGUUCUUAAAAUAAAUGAAUUUUUUACUUAUUUGUGAACUGAAAUGCCUCUAAAAAAAUAAUGAUAGUUUGAAGAAUUUGAUAGAAAUUAAAAAAUAUCCUCAAAUUACUUGGAAUUGAAGACCACAUAGGCAAAAACACCAUUUUGGACAAAGGCUGGUGAUAAUAGUCGAUAUCAUCUUUAAGUACUUUAAUAUGAUAUGUUUCUUAUUAUAGUGUCCCAUGUUAAGUGUUUCAGCAUUGUUUGUGGUGUGUACACAAAUUUUCUUAUAAAAUGUUUUAAUGCUUCUCACAUGUAUAUCAGAUAUAGACAGUUGAUGUGACUUAGAAAUCAAAUUGUCAAUAAAGCAAAAAAAUAUAAUUGGUGAUCGAGGUCCAAUUUAAUAGAAAAUAGUCUUAACUUGUAUAUUAGAGGUCUCAUAUUCGAAUCCUCACUGCAUUAUUAUUGUAUGCGUACAUGAGAAAUCCUCUUUCCUAAUAAUUUAGACUAUCACUUAUACUAAAAUAUAUAUAUAAUGACUUUUACGAAUGCAAACAUAAAAUUACACCAAACAAUAAUGGAAUAGAAAGAUGGAAGUUUUUUUUUUUUUUCCUACGUCUAAAGUAUACUUUAUACAGUCCCGAUCUCUUGGACCACAGGAGUCCAAGAGAUUGUGGUCACCCACCGUUGGAUAUUAAUCCAAUGGUUCAAAAUGAUAUAUAUAAAUGCAAUAUGACAUAAAUGAUUAUUACCCGAUCCAAGUCAACCGUUGAAUUUACAUUCAACGGUGGGUGACCAUAAAUCUCUUGGACUACAGGGGUCCAAGAGAUCAGGACUGAUACUUUAUAUAUAUAUAUAUAUAUAUUUAUUUAUUAUGGGAGUUAUAACUGUUUAGUUUUCAGUUUUUAUUUUCUAUUUAUUGUUUUAAUUUUUAUGGUUUAAUGUGUAUGGAGAUUACAAAUAUUGGAUGUCUAUAAAGGGCCACUCCUCCUUCACAUCUGAAACAAACUACCAUCUCAUUUCUGUAUUUUCAUACUUUCAUAUAUUUUCUACUGUCCAGAUUAUUAUUUUUGGGCAACGGUUCUGUGACUUGGAGAUUUCUAUCCGAUUGUUAACAUGCUCAUAGCGGACCUUGAGCUUGCGUAUUAGGGAUCGUAUCUUGGAGCCUUGUAGACCUUUAUUACCUGCAUGUAGGGAGGGUACAAAUGCUUUAGGUCAGCGUCUUCGACGUACUUUUGCUUUCUUAUUUCUUCGUUUCUUUAUUUUUGCUUUACUUUUAAAUCUUUAUUUUAUGUAUUAUUUAUAUUUAAAAGUUUGAAUAAGAGUUUUACAGAAAAGGAAAAAUACAAUUUCAAAUAACACAAAUUUCUCGUUUUUUGUUCUUAAAAAAGAAGAAGCAUUGAUUGGGGAGUUAUGGUAAACUCAAUUUCAAUGGUUGCGAUGAGAGGCGGUGGCGGCGAGGAGAGGACGAAGGCUUUGCUGCCGACGGGGUGGUGUGGGUGGGUGGAGACCUCGGCUGGCUGCUUGGUCCUGGGUUCUCCUUUAAUUCUCUGUUUUCUUUUUUCUUUUUCUUUUUCUCUUAGAGUUAUUGAUGUUAAGUGAAUGGACAGAUGCCAAAAUAGGGACAGAAGUAGGGGUGGGCAUCAAUCCGGCCGAUCCGGUCAAUCCGGCCGAACCGAUUAUAUUGGAUUGGUUUGGUUUGGUUUUGACCAAAGAAAAAGUCAACAUUUUGAAAAACCGAACCGAACCGGUUUGGUUUGGUUCAGCUGUGGUUUGAGAGUUUUAAAAACUGUCCUAAACCGAACCGGACCGAUUAUAAAUCAAUUUAUUAUUUAUUUAAUUUAGUUUACAUGUGGCAAGGUUUGUGUGCGUUUUGUGAGUCCGCGUAUCUGAAUGUUGGUGCACGUUUUGAUCUUCUAAUUUGCAUAUCCCAGUUAUUUGUGUGUGCUUGUAUUUCCCUCUCUUUCUAUCUCUACUAUGUGUGUUUGCUCUUUGUGUUGUGUGGCUCUUCUUACUCUAUCUAUCUUAAUUAAUGGGUCCAUUUCAUAAUUUCAUACGCAUUCAAACUCCACCUCUGUGAUAAAAACAUUUACCUCUUUGUGAUAAAAGCUUUUCAUUUGUUUGUAUUUCUCUUUGGCUUUUUGACUCACUCACUGUCUUUCUUUCUUUUAAUGCUACUUGUGAUGAAUGCAAUGAGUAAAUUUAAUGCUACUUGGUUAAUGCAAAUUUUGUAUAUGUUUGUUUUGAUGGAAAUUGUGAACUUAGAUGCAUGCUAGACAUUGGACAACCUUUGAAUAAAUGGAAUGAUGUUGUAUUAGCCUUUGAUGGAAUGAAAUGAAAUGAUAUAAUGGCAAAAUGUUAGCAUUAUAAUGUAAGAGCAGGUUGAAAAAUGCAUGGUUUUGUGUUAGGCACAAACCGGCCGAACCAAUCCGAACCAAACCGAUUACAAGUGGUUUGGAUUGGUUCGGUUUCCAUUAUGAUUUUAGGCUAAUCCGAACCAAACCGGACCGUUAUUUUCUUAUUGGUUCAGCUGUGGUUUGAGAGUAAAACCGAACCAAUCCGGACCGUGCCCACCCCUAGACAGAAGAUGUGAACCCAAUUAUAUACAGCUGAUUACAUAAAGUAACAAAUUAAUUAAUACUUGAGUGGAGGACAGGCUUGAGUGGAAGAAUUGAUUAAGGCUUGAGUGGAAGACCAACUUCAGUGGAGGAAAGUAUAGAUAAGGAAAGCAUGCCUCGUUUAACGGCUUUAUCUAAUAAAGAUUAGUUGUUGGCACUUGGAGUUUCUUAGGAAUGCUGGUUUUGUUUCCUUGGUGGACUUGAAAGGUGGUGCGUUGGCUCGGACAUCUCCCUAGUAAUUAAUCGAAGGUGGAAUCUUACAAGACAUACAGCUGCUCAUUAGCUGAAUAUCUCGCUCUCUUUAAAGAGAUCGAAGCAAACUGCAAUUUGCAAUUUGUGUGAUUCAAGCAUGAAUAUCUGAUAUAGUAACUAUACCAUUUGUUGGUUUGAUAAGAAAAGUUUGGUUAGCGAGGAUGAAACCAUAAAGUUCUCCAAAACACACAAAAAACACGAACAAUUGC
rnacentral:lncRNA from 1 species